GAGCGUUGAUGAUGGGAACGUUGCCAUGGUUGCCAAUGUCCUUGACGUUCUCAACCCCCGGUGGGAGGGAGGGGUGGUGAGGAAAUUCUAGGACAAGGGUUUUGACACAAGUGGGGUGGGCAGAGAGGAGAGGGUUGAGGAAGGGUAGGUUCUUGGGAGUGACGACCAGAGUGAGGGUUAGGUUGGGGUGAGUGAGAAGCAACUGAUGGGCUAGAUCUAGAAGCGGAAGCAUGUGGCCUUGUGCAGCGUAUGGAAACACCAGAAUGUGAAUGGGUGUUUGUGCAGAACCAGACAUGACUUUGGAGGUAUGAAUUCCACCGGUUGCCUUACCCUGUCCUCGCAUUUAUUCCAGUGGUGGUGGGUGGUGGCGAUGGUGAUGGUGGUGGGGGGUGGUGGGCUACACCUCUUUUUACUACUGUUCAAGUUAUAAAGCAUGAGCAAGAGACGUGUUGGGAAACGUGUUCCAGGAACUCGCUUAAAGAAUAAUAAUAAAAAAUAAAAAAAAGAAAGAGAUUUUAAUAAUAAUUCAAGAGUUUAGUAUGGUAAAAGUAUUAUAAGUAUCCAAAAUUUUCCCAUACACCUACUUCUACUUGGACUGGAAAAUUGACUCAAAUUUCCAUUAUAUUUGAGCCCAAAAGUUAAUGAAUGAGUGAAAUUGAGUUGAAUAUCGACUUUUCACGUUUCUCUCAUUAUCUUUUUUCCCUUUCUCUCUCUUCGUUCACUUUACCUUUUUUUUCUUUCACAUAUUAAUUAAUGGGAUCAUGUAAAUUAAUUUCUAAUUAGGAGGUGUCAUUAUGUCCACCAAUUAUUUUUCUCUCAAGAACCAUGUCUAAUAAAUUGAAUAUCGGAAAUCAAUAGUUAAAAAUGAUUAUUACUACAUUUUUUUUAAGUAAAUAUUUUUUAAACACCUCAUAAAAUAUUUUUUUUUUCAAACUUACAAAAUAUAUAAUAAAUAUUUUUUAAACACGUUAAAAUAUCUAAUAUAUAUAUAUAUAAACUAUUUUUUAUAUAUAAAUAUCUUUAAGGUUAUAGACAAUUAUUUGAAUAUUUUUUAUAUUUUAUGGACAAUACAUUGACAUUGUCAUAAUAUAUUAUUUUGUAAUAUGACCAUUUUCUAACUAAUGGUGAUAAUUAAUUUUAAAUUGAAUAAUGUAUUAUAAUUUAAUAAUUUGAAAAAUAUUAAAAGACCCUUUUAAAUCUGAAAUAUAUGUGAACUUGAUAUGAUUUAAAUUAUUAAAACACGAUGUCAUCAAAUAAACAAAUGUAUCAUAUCAAAAGAUGUUCAUGUAAUUAUAUUUUUCCUUAUACAUGAUAUCUUUCGUAUAAAGUUUGUUGAUGAAAAAUGAAAAAAUAUUUUGUUAUGCAAAGAGGUAUAAAAACACAUUAAAAUAAAAAAGAGAAUAUAAUGGAGUACAAAUUAGAGGGAAAUCACCUUAAAUAGAGAUAUAAUAGAAAACAUGAAAAUGUGAGGAAAAAAUAAGUUUAGAUGAAAUUUAAGAUAAACAAUCAAAGAAAAUAAAUUAAAAUUAAUAAUAUAAAAAUAAUAAAAUCUUCAAAACUAUAAUUACAACAAAAAAAAUUAUUUUAAAUUAACUCGAUAAAUUAAAUUAAUGAUUUUUUUUAAACAUUACAAAUGUUACAAAGAUAAAUUUUUAUCAUUUUUAAUUCUAUUUAAAUAUGAUUUUUUUUUAAUCUCUACUAACAUUAUGUUUAUAAGGGUAAAAUGGUAAAAAUAUAUAUUUCAUUCAGUUUAUUUAUAAUAAACACUUUAAAUAUGAUUAAUUUUAAUUUUAUUUCCUAUGUUUUAAUUUUGGUAAGGAACAUCUAAAUGACAUAGUUGGUAAAAAAUAUUGAUAAUUUUUCCUAAACAGUUAUUAUAUUAUGUUGUUUAUAUUGUCUUAAGUCAUUUUAAACAAUGACACUAAUGUGUAAUCCAUUUAUAUUAAUUUGAUUUCACAACAAAGGUAGUACCUAAACAUUGUGGUUAAUUUUCCUUUAUAUGAGAUGUAAAUGUACUAAGAAAAAAUAUUGUCAAAACGACUCAAACGAAAUAUGCAAUUAUAAAUUUUGGAUGGUGAAAUUUAAAAUUCAAAUCGAAACAAUUUUUAGGUGAAGGAAUCUAGAGGGGAAAAAUGUCCAAUCCUUAGGUGACAAGAAAAAAAAUGGUUCAAAAUUGAUUGAAAUCUUGUAUUAAAGGUAGACCCAUUAUAUAGUUAGUACAUUUGCCUUAUACAAUUAGUACAUUUACCUUGUACAUUGAGUGUAAUACCCUUGUAUAGUAGUACAAAUUUUAUAUACAAUCCAUAGGUGAUAAGGAAAAUAAAAAAGCGAUUAAAAAUCGAUUAAAAUCCUUUACAAAUGGUAGCCUUGUACACCCUUAUACACUUAGUACAUUUCCCUUGUACACUUUGUAUAUUUUCCUUGUACACUUAGUGUAACACAAUUGUACAAUGACGUAAUAUAUCCCUUUUAAGUUAUGUGUCCACAUAGGUAUGUUAACCAUAUUUCUAAAGGUUUGGCUUGAAAAAAAUUGGAUGAAUUAGGGUAAAAAUUUUUUCCCUAAACAUUAUUACUAGGAAAAGUAUCAGAAUUUUCAUGUGAAAGUUAAAUAAAGUGCAUGACUUGGGUAUGCAAUCUGUGGGUGACAAUGAAAAUGAAGAAGCGAUUCAAAAUCGAUUAAAAUCUUUCACAUAUGGUAGCCUUGUACACCCUUGUACACUUAGUAAAUUUUCCUUGUAUAAUUAGUAUAAUACCAUUGUACAAUGGCAAAAUAUAUCCCUCCUAAGUAAUGUGUCCAUGUACAUGUGUUAACUAUAUUUCUAAUGGUUUAGUUGAGAAAAUGGUGGAUGAAGUAGGGUUAAUUUUUUUUUUCUCAAACAUCAUUACUAGAAAAAGUAUCAAAAUUUCUAUGUGGUAGUUAAAUAAUGUGCAUGACAUGAGUAUGCAAUCUAUGGGCGACAAGGAAAAUAAAGGAAUGGUUCAAAAUUGAUUGAAAUAUUUUACAAAUGGUAAUAUUUUACAUUCCUUGUACACUUAGUACAUUUCCCUUAUACAAUUAGUGAAUACCCUUGUACAAUGGCACAAGAAGAAAACAAUAUAGAAAAUAAAAAUUAUUUUUAAAAAUAAAAAAAUAAAAACUAGAAAAAUAUUUUAAAACCAAACUCAAACAUAAUCUAUAUAAUUUUUACCUACUUGUUUAAAAUGAGUAAAUAUACCAUUAAACCCUUUUAUAUGAGAAAAAUUCAAUCUUUACUAUACUAUGUAUUGAUAUAAUCUAUUUCUAAAUACGAAAACAUUUUAGUUAGAUAUUUAAAAUAAAAACUCUCCAUCCAUCUUCUUUCUCUCUUUUUCUUUUUCUUAUUUCAAUAAAUAUUCAAUUAAUUCAAACCAUUAAAAAAAAUUCCUUAAUAAAAAAUUUGCAACAUUUCAUGUAACUUAUUACCAAAAGUCUAUGUUAAAAAAAUUAUUAAAAUAAGGAAGGAAGAAGAUUAAAGAAAAGUUUAAAUUUUAUAAUAGUAAAAAAAAUAAACUUUAAAAUACUUUUUAGUAUAAAAGAAAAAAAAUAGAAAAUAUAUUUAUUUUAAAUAGUGUUUUAAUUAUUAAAUUAUUUACUUCUAAAAUGUAAAAGUUAAUUUUUAUUCAUUUAAAUUAAUAUUUUUUUGAAAUUAUUUUUCAAAAUAGUUUUUGAAUCAUUAAUAUAAUUUUUGUUUAUUUAUAAUUUAAAAAUAGAAAAUAAGGCUGAUUUUUUUUUAAUUAUUUUUAAAAGAGUUUUACAAAUAAUGAAAAAUAAAAAAAUUGAUUAAAUAAGGAGGAAUUUUAUGAAAGUGGCAUAUAAAGAGUAGUGGUAUAAAGACAAAAAUGAUGAGUGUAAGUCAAAGGGGUAUUUUUGUCUAUUCCUACCUUAUAUCCUUAUAAUCAAUUAUGGGUGUUUGAAGGACUUUUAUUAAUUAUCAAGGACAAGUGGGUGAAAAAUACAAUUCUUUCUAAAACGAAUAUAAUGAAAGAAUGCCUAAAAUUUUAAUUAAUUUUACAUCUAUACAACUUGAAUUUUAAAACUUAAUUUUUUUAUAGUUUUUUUUUUCUUUUAAUGUGAGUGUAAAAACAUACUUUUUUCUUAGGUUUUGGUGCAUGUCUCACAAACUUGUCCCCAUCCACCUUCACUAGGUUGAAGAAAUGGUUGAUGUUAUGAAUUUCGAGUGAAAUUUGGUUGCAUCCAAGGAAAAUAUGGUUUUAGAUGUAUUUUUUAAAAUUAAUUUGAGCUAUAUAUUAAAAUGUAUUUUUUUUAUAUAAAAAUUAGAUACCAAAAUUUAUGAAGACAAAGGAAUUAUCAAAUAUAUAUAUCUUAAAAUUUUUAAAAAUUUAAAUAGGUGGUUAGAGGUGAAAUGGUGAGAGUUAGGUUUUGGAAGUGGGCACGUGAUGGGUAAGGGUAGAACAACAUGAUUAUAAUGUCAGUGGAGGUACAAGUAAUCACGGAUUUCACAUGAGCUAGGUGUCAUGGACUUAGUCUUUUCUUAAGCUCGUGCAACACUUAGACAAGUCAAGACCGUUGAUCUUGCUAAGUCAGCCUUACUUCCGAUGCUUAGCUUGCUAGGCUAAGAUGCUCAUGACUUGGAAGCUUUAGAAGGUGUAGUAGGCAACUCUUAAAGAAUGGAAGAUUUAUUGCUCAAAGGAAGCUUUACAAAUGUUUUGGAACUCACUUGCUUGGUGCCUUGGCCAAAUGGGGCCUUCACCUAUUUAUAGGCACCAAUGGAACUCUUUGGAACCUUAGAGGAUUCCUUACAAAUCAAGAACAAUCUUGAACAUCCUACACAAUUCUAUGUACUAGCCUAUGUAUAAGAAUAUACAAAAGAUUUCUAGAAUUCUCUAGAAGGCCUUGGACUCAUCUCAUUCCUUCCACCAUAGUGUAGAGGUGUGUGGACUUCUCUAGGCAUCUCUAGAACUUUCUACACUUAUCCCACCAAUUGCUAAGUGUAGGAGUCUCCAGAAGCUUCCUAGGCUCUAUAUAAACCCAUGGGGAGGCUCAUUUGAAGCAUCCUGUGACACUCUCCCCCACAUAAAACGCAAAUGUCCUCAUCGUGCCUUCUACCCGAAGCCGUUCAAUCUACUCUUGGAACUGCCAUAGUGCAUCUGAUGGCUCCCAACUAACCUCGCUCUCUAGUAGUCCUUUCCAUUUUACCAAGUACUUCGUAGCAGGAGGCAUGUCUCGUCUUCUGACGACUCAGUCUACAAUGAUGUGUUUUACCUCCUUGUCAUAAGAGGUUACAACCGUUGUAGUUAGAUAAAUAAUCAAUAAUAAAAUGUGGUGUAUGAUAUUAUGUUAAGUGUGGAGUAAAUUCUUCAAGAUUUUGAGUGCUUCUUUAAGGUAUGAGAAAUUAAUACAGAUUUUGUAAAAUGAAAUAGUUUUAUUUUUAUAUGAUAUUUUGAAAUGUGUAAAAAAAAAUAUUUUUAUUUCUAUGCAUGGAUCAAAUAUAUGUUUUGUAUGAAAAAUAUGUUUGACCAUUUUUUUUGUUUAUAAAAAAUAAAAAUUGUGGAGAUAUGAUAUUUUGUUUUGUAAGUUUGAAUUAAUGAAAUGAAGUGUUUGACUCUAAUUUUUAUGACCCUAGUCAAUGGGUUAUAAUAGUUGACCUUAUGGCCCUUUGUCAAUGGGUUAUAAUUGUUGACUUUUGGUUUUGUUCACCUUAAAUGGAACAAAUUUGAAACUAGCCACUCGUUUGUCAAGUCCCACCUAAUUGGACACCAUUUGUUGUUUGAUAAUUAAAGUAAAGAUAUUUUGAAUGUAUUUGAUAUGGUUUUGAUGAGAAAUUGUUUUGAAAUGGAUAUAAGAAAGUUUUGUUGAAAAUUUUUGAAUAUAUUAGCAUGUUUAACUCAAGAGUUUUUGUGAAAAUGAAUAUAUGUUAUAUCUCUUAUUUGUAAUUAUAAUUAAAAAUGUUUGAUCCUUGAAACUGUAUUGAUGUUCCUUAUUGAGCUUUAAGCUCAUGCCCCUUCACUGAUAAUUUUUUAGGUAUUUUAUAUUCGGGCGAGGAGUGAUGGAUAGGUUGGGGAUUUUUUUUCUUUGUUAGGAUUUUAGUUCAAACUUUAUUUUGGACAUUAUUUAGAUGUUAAAUUUUAAUUCCCAUUUGAAUUAUUUGAGUUUGUAGUUAUUUGGUGUUAGUUUUUAAAGUUGAGAAUUGGGGAUCAUAGAAUUUAUUUAUUUUACUACUCUAAACAAGAAAUUGGUAAUUGGUAAUUUCCAAUUACAAGAUGAAUAUUGUGUUGUUUCCACUUUGAGCCUUUGGGUUUUGAGGUGUGAAUUGACAAUCAUGCCCUUAGAGUGGGUUUUGGGGCAUGGCAUUUACUUCUCAUUUUUCAACUUAUAUCCAUUAGAAUUGGAUAUAUGUUGUCCUAUUGUUGGUGUAAGGCAACUUUUAGCUUGUUCAAGGAUAGAUCAUUUUAAAAAGUAAAGUAUAUACUUGGAAUGAGCUCAAUAAAAUCUUGUGGAAUCCUGAAAUGCUUCAAUUACAAGAAAAUAAUGUAAGGCUCCCAAGUCCUUUAGAGAGUCUUGGAUGAGUUUAGCUAUCAAGCUGGGGUUAUUUAUAGUAAUGAGAAUAUCAUCUACACAUACAAGUAAGAAUUUAGAGUUAUAGUCUUUGAUAUAUCUGAAUAAGGAUGCAUUAGACUUUGAGCUUUUGAAACUCCAUUAAAAAAAGUACUUCACUAUUUCUCAAACCAAGCAUAGGGUGCUUGUUUGAACUCAGACAACGCUUUAUGUGGUUGGCACAUAUAUUAAAACUUGUCAAACACUUGAGUUGUUGAAGUGAGUCAUUUGGGUUGUAUUUUAACUUAUGUAUCCAUUUUUGGCGAAUAAUAUUAUAAUGUGGAGGGCAAAAUACUAAGGACAUGUUUAGUUUGAAGUCAUGCCUAAAAUUUUGCUUCCAUACUCUUUUUUCACUUGUUAGAUUUUAAUGUUUCAAUAACACUUAGGUUCACUCUCAAGUUGUUUUAUUGGGCAUUGAGUUGUGAACAACUUUGGUUUGAAUAUUCCUAUCUUUUAGAUGUGAGUUAGAAGUAAGAAUAUGCAAAUUCACAACUAGGAGUUAGCUUAUUAUAGACUCUUUAUUUUUUCCUCUAGCACAUGUUAUUCAUCACAUUUGGUCCUUCUUACCUUGCAUUUUCAUGUGACACGCAUGUAGGAUUCCCCUUUUACUUAGUAGUUCAUUAUGCUCUAUAGUGGUCCACCUGUUACUCAAUUUGUUAUUAACUCUUGGGUCACUUUUGGAGACCUUUUUGAGGGAGUUUUUGGACCCAAAGCAUGAUUUUAGUGGUACCUUAGGUUCUCCCUAAGUUUCGACAUAUUUGAAGCUCAAUUGAGUUUUUUUUUUUUUUUUUUUUUUUUUUUUUGCGACUUGUGACCUGUCCAAGUUCAAACCAAAGAUGGGGAACCGAUUCAACCUAUCAAACCAACCAGUUCAGUUGGUUGAACUAGUUUUCCUUAACUGGUUCGUCCUGUUGGGUUGUUUCUCUAUUGUUUUAACUUGAAAUCGAGCACUAUUUUAUUUUAUUUUAUUUUUGUUUGUUUCCUUACAUUCCAAGGAGUGUUUUUGUUACCUUUAACCCUAGUGUAGAGCCCCUUUGAUUUUAGUUCUUGUGUAAGUGGGUUUUUGGCUACUUUGAGCAUAGGGUGAGAUGAGGACAAGUGUCUAAAUUAAUGCUUGUGAUCUCCAUUAGUUCUGUAACUUACUAGUGACAAUUUCUUCAUCAAUGGCGUUACAUUUAAUCCUCCUCACCAUAUCAUGCAUAGGAUCCCCCUAAUCGCUCAUUGGAUUAUCAUUGCUUGACACCUUUAUAAGUGAACUGAAUUGGACAUUAGUGUUUUCAUCAUCAAACCAAUGCGUAUCACCUUCAUUGACGAAGAUCACCUUCAUUCUUAGGUACACAUCAUAAUGUUUCCAAGAUGGCACAAUCAGUUCAGAAGUGGUUCUUCAGGUUAGCAUCAAACCAAGUUGCAAGUCAAAGACCAACAUGUGUCAUAUUCAUUAUAUUCAAGACUACUCUUACAACAACAAGAAGAGAUCAAUUCUUCAUUAAUAUGCACUAAGAUUGUGCAUCAUUUGCACUUUCGCAUCAUCAUUAGAACACAUAUCAAAGGUGUCUAGUAGCUUGAAUAACAUUCUAUAUCAUCAAAUUUUACAAAAGUUUAUAGGUUAGUUUUGUUAAAUUUUUUAUGUUGAUUUCAUUAUCUUUCUUUUUAUUUAUUUUAUAUCUUUUGAUUUGAAUUUUAUCAUGAUUGGGUGUGUAUAAAUUAGGCCACACACAAGUGUUGUUAGAUUCAUUAUUUAGUUUGAUGUGUGAUUGGUUUUUUUGCUAGUUCAUAUUUUAGAACUAAACCUAGGUUAAUUUGAUCCCAUACCCAAUUAAGCCAUUUGAUGUUUAUAUGAUGAUUGGCUUUGAACGAAUAUAUUAAUUUUGAUUCAAACCUUUGAUUUUUAGUUAGUUUUUGUAAGCUCACACCUCAUAAAUCACAUACAUAUAUCACAUUUAAAUAGAUGAUCCUAUAUUAGACUUAUUUAAAUAUUUGUUUAGGACCCUUUUGGUGUUGGAUUUUUAGGAAUUUAAAAUAGGACACAAUAAACCACUUAAAUGGCUAUCAAUUUGAUCCAUAUAAUUUGUCAUAAUUCAAACAUUUGAUCACUUAAUUUUGGCACAUAAGCUUGCCUUUAGGUGCUUUCUAUCUGGUUUUUGGUUUCCAUGUGUUUUAAUGAUUUUGAAAAUGUUUUCAUUUGUUUUUAAAAUAAAAUAAAUCCUCACAAUCCAUAUUUAAAUUUGUCUUAGAUCAAUUAGGUAAAGGAAAGUCUAUUUUAAAAAGCAAUGCAACCUUAUUUUAUUCAGUAUGCAUAUUUGAAAAGGUUUUAGAAAUGAAUUUUGAUUUAUGAUACAUGAAUUAAAUUCGUAGCUCCAAUCAAUGGAGUCAUUCUUAGUCUUGGUGAGCUUAUUCAUGAUCAUUUGAAGUUGAGUAAUUAUGGAUGUAUUCAUGGAAAUUAAAAAGGGAUUUGGUAAAUCCCUAUAUACAAAGUUCUCCAAAAAUUGGUCUUUCAUUGCCAUAGUUGAUAGUCCACUACACCUUUGAAAUUGUAAAUUGGAAUCCAAUCACUUAAAGGCCCCCUAAAAUUAUUUUAAUGCUUGAUAUUGCUAGACUCCUUAAAUUUAUGAAAUAAAUUUUGUUUGAAUCUAAAAUACUUCUCUAAUUAAUAGAUUUAAUUUAGUCUUCCAAUAGGUACAAUUUAAGCACUAUUCUAGACAUUCGAAGUGUUUUUGCAAAAUUAAAUUAUUAAAGGAUUUCUUUUAUUUCUUUGAUCAUUUUUUCUUUAAUAUAGAAUUCUUGAAUUUGAAUUUAAAUGCAUAAAACAUUAAGAAAUUAUUUUCCAAAUGAGAGAUAUGAUUUUCUUUUCAACACUUACUACAUAGACCAUUUUUUGGAGCUAAGAAAUGUUAAUUUAAUUUUAAAUCUAUUAUAUAUAUGAUUAUGAAUUAGGUUUAUUUUUCCUAUAAACUAUAAUGUUAAAUGAGUUGUUUGAUAGGAUUUUAGGACAUCUCUAAGUUAAUAAAAAAAAAAAAAUUUCAUGCAUGCCUUGUAAAAAUGCUAUGUUUUGGACUUAUUGUGUGUGUGUGUGUGUGUUUUUUUCUAUGAAAUUUGGUACCUAGUUAAUCAGCUUGACUUUUUGGAUUAUAAUCUAGACAUAUAGAGGAGGUUGUCCAAUUUUUAUUUUUUUUUCAUGAUAAAAAUCAAUUUCUAGAUUUUUUUUUAUGAUUUAUUUUGUAGACUCCUUUGUUCUAAUUAUAUGUUGAUCAUUUUGUGUAGUGACGUGAUUGUGAUUUAAUUUGGUAUUAUUUGAAAUCUAAUUAAUUUAUUUGGCCUUUAUGAUCUAGAUAUGUUAAAGAUAUUACUCAAUUUUUAUUUUCACGAAAUAACACUUCUUGAUAGUUAUUUGGAAUUUAUUUUAUGAAAAUCUAUAUUCUACCCUAUUAAUGAUAAUUCAUAUGAUAUCAUAAUUUGAUCACUUUUGAGCAUCUUUGUGAACCUUUUUUUACUAUUGAUUCAUAUUCUCGAUGGAUUUGGUAUAUUAGUGAGCCUUUCUCUAGAUUAAAAUUGUUAGGACAUUGAGUCUUGUUUGUAUGUUGACAAUUUGUUCCUUUUAACAUUUGGCUAUUUUAGUCCUUUUAAAUAGUGACUUGCUCUCCAUUGAAGAUCAAAGGUUGUUGCUUGUCCAAUUGGGAAGUCACAAGUAUGUCUAAAAAGGUUUGACAUGUGGCAAGUUAGACUCCUAUGAGGUAUAUAGAGAAUCAUUAUUAUUAUUUUUAACUUAAAAUACUUUAAAUUAAUGUUUUGAAAAAGGGUAGGACCACUCAAGUAGCUUGAAGCACUCAAGCGUUGAAGAUCACUUAAGCACUCUACAUUGGUUAAGCGCCUGAGGUGCUCAAGUGAUCAUGUUGAUUCUGCUAAGAUUUUUCACACAAAUUUGACUUAGAAUUCUUCUAAAACCAAAACUUUUCGGGUUGUUUGCCUAUAAAUACCUCAUUAUAAUUUGAAAAAGAUUAAAUAUCUUAAUUUCUUUAGAGAGGGUUUCUUUGGAGAGAAAGCCUAAUGAGCCACAUCUUUUUCGACCUCUCAUUCAAAGGAUUCAAUCCUUGAAUCUUGGGUUGAAGACCUUCAUCCCUUCAACGAGGCUGAAGUGUAUUCAUGAGAGCAAUAGUGGUUGUUUCAUUGUAGUGUGGACCUGCAUUUUUCGCAUGUGUUCCUACUUGAUGAUGAGACUUGCUUUUUAAGGUGAAAAACUAUAUUUUAAUAAAAAAUGGAGUCAUCGCUUUUUUUUUUAUUGUUUUAAAAAGGAAAAUAAAAUAAGAAACUACAACCUUAAAAAAAUGUCUCCUUAAACUUUUGGAAAAACGUGUCUUUAAAAAAACUCAAGUCUAGAUCCAAGGAUCAGGUUAUUUGUUGGGAAAGUACCUUAAAAAUGUAGCAACCCUUUAAGCCUUAAAAAGGUCUCUUCUGACUAGUAUGAGAGAUGAAUGACAAUUAAUUAAUUGAUUGAGGGUACUUGAUAAGCAAAGGUGAUCAAAAUUAAGGAUAAACAACAUAUUAUUUAUAUCCAAACAAGUAUCUCAAAGCAAUGAAUCAUACUAGAAAGGUAGAUGGGUGUACUUGAACUACAAUCUAAAAUGCUUUCAUGAAAAUGUCAAAGUUAGUUUAACAAAUACAACAUACAACAUGCGUUCAAUCCAUUAAAAAAAAAACAAGCAAUAAUAAAAGCAAUCAAAACAAUAUCAUAAGUUAGAAAGCUCACAAAUAAAGUUUGUAUAUUUACAAAAUUAAAGUAGAAAGUGAAAGGGACGUACUUGAAUAGCAUGAACAACUCACAAUGCGUUUGUAUAUAGUUAGAAUAGGGUUAGUUUAUAAGCAGUAAUAAAUAAUAUCAUCAAAACCUUAUAUUCUACAUGACGUAUAUACAACUUAAAUUAAGAGCUAGGGAGUUUGAACAAUACACAACAUCAAGGUAACAAUGACUUCUAGAUCAAACAAACUAAUAAAGAUAUUAAUCAAGAACUAACAACUAGAAUUCAAGAAGUACAUAAAUUGAGAUAAAAUCAAUCAAGGGCUAGUAUCGAUGACUUUUAAAACAAAACUAAUAAUGUGAGAUUAUCACAAAUUAUCAACUAAGAUUUGAAGAAAUAAUAAAUGCCGUUAGGAUCAUUAAAACAACAUCUAAUAAUUCAAAGAACAACAUAAACUGACAUGGAUCAUAAAAAAUCAACAACUAACUAUUCAAAGACAUAAAUUAACAUAGAUUAUCAAAAUUAGUGACUCAACAUACAGGAUUCCAAGAAAAGUGAAAAUCAACAUUGAUCAUCAAAACUAAAUAACUAAUAAUUCAAAAGGGCAAUAUAAAUUAACAUGGAUCAACAAAACUAAUAAUUUAUAACUUUAAGAAUAAUAUAAAUUAACAAGGUUCGACUAAUAAUUCCAAGAACAAUAAAAAUUAACAUGGAUCACCAAAAUUUAAAACUAAUAAUUCAAGGAACGAUAUAAAUAAAAUGGAUCAUCAAUACUAAGAACUUGAUUCAAAGAGAAUAACUAAGAUAAAAAAAAAUUAUUAUUCAAAACUAACAUAUAAAUUUUUUAUCUUGAGAUCAUUUAUUUAAACAAAUUCCAACUAAAGAUUAUCAAUAACAAGAACAUGAAAUCCAAAGAAAUUAACUAACAUCAUAAAAUCAUUUGAAACAAACUUCUAAAUAUUAUUUUUUAAAAGAAAAUCCUAACUUGACAUCAUCAAAAUUCUUAAACAAACAACCAACUAAUGAUUUUACCAAAAAAAAAAACUAAACAGACAUAUUUUUAAAAAAAAUUUCAAAAUAAAUGUUUAUAAUUAUUUCUUUUAUUUUAAUGUUAAAAUAAAUUUGUAGAGUAAUAAAGUAAUUUUUUUUUGUCACUGAUGAAACCUAACAAACUACAAACACUUUAAUAAUAAAUAAAUAAAUAGUGGCUUUUAAUCUAAAAUACCAUACCCCUAUUGAAUAAUAACACAAUACAAUUCAUGAUCUAAGUACACUGUUGCAUGCUACAUAUAAUGUUAUUCUGUCAUGAAAUUCCAUGACCACUAUGCAACAAUAACUCUUAAAAUAACAAGAUUAAUGAACUUUGAAAUAUCUUAUAAUAAUAAUAAUAAUAAUAAAACAAUCUUAACCUUACAUAUUUUAAUAUUAUUCAUACAUGAAAUUCCAUGGUGACUAUGCAACAACAAAUUUUAAAAUAAUAACGUUAGUGAACUUUGGAAAAUAUUGUAACAUAAUAAUAAUAAUAAUAAUAAUAAUAAUCACAUGCCUCAAAGAAUUGGUAAUGAUAUUAUCAAUUUAAUAAUGGCUAUGCAUGAGAAUGGUGAGAACAUGCGGCCCCUUCUCUUGUGCGUGCUGGAGAUUGCCUCAAAGUGGUUGCCACCUGAUUUUUCAUGUGCAGCCAUGGCCCCUCAUAUGUGGGGUGUGAAUUUCAAGUGUCCAUCCAGAGUGGCAGCAUGAUGUUUGUUUUUCUCAUGGGUUGUGUCCUCCGAAAGUGUGUGUCGGCUACCCCGAAGAUGGUGCAGGCCGGGUAUCUCUUUGGUGGAGAAUUCCUAUUAAGCGGUAUGGGCUCUCCAUGUGUGCAGGUUGAAUCUCUACUGAUGGUGUGCUUCUUUUCAAUGGAUGACAGCCGUAUGUGGCCCCCUAUGGAAUGUGUAGGCUGCUUGUGCAUGAUCUUGUAUGCGUGAGUCCCAAAAAAAAUUCAAGAUGUUGUUUCUCAAUAUCCAAUCGUCCACACAUGUUCCACAAAAAAAAUCUAAUGUUCAUGGUAUGCACAAAUUUCGUAAAUUUUGGUCCUGUGAAAUUUAGCAAAAUAAAAUAGGAAAAUAUAAUACGUACAAAAUAUUUAUUAAAUUUAAUAAUAUAAUGAGUACAAUCUCAGAAAAAAUAUUCUUUUCAACAAAGAAUAUUUUACCUUUGAUUCUUUUGUCUUGAUCAUACUUUAAAAGAUGUCGAUGACAUUUUCUUAAUUUCGAAGGUAAAUUAAGGGUCACAAGUAGCUUACUCCCGAACUUGGAGAGAGAUGUUACCUUUGGAUUUUCUCCUUAUGAUUUUCCUUUCUAGAGUUUUUUUAGUUUUUCAAUUUCUUUCUCCCUUUUUUUAUGAAAGAUAUCUCUGUUUAUAGGUGAAGAUAGAGAAUUUAAAUUUCAAAUUCCAUAAUUUUAAUAAAUUUUUUUAUUUGAGAUAUUUUACCAACAAGAUAAUAAUAAUAAUAAUAAUAAUUUUCUUAUUAUUUUAUAGUUGAAGAUGAGAGAGAGAGACUCAUCCAUAAGAUGAGAGACUCAUCCAUAAGAUGAUUUUUUUUAAAAGAAUUAAUUAAUAAUAAUUUAAUUCACUAAUUUUUUUUAUAUUUAUAUUCACCACUCAGUUCCCCCGAUCCGUGUACUCAUCAAAUCAGCAUCAGCUUUCAUUUAGAGCAUUUAUUUAUUGGGAACUUAGGAGGCGAGUACAAUUAUUUAUUCCUUUCUCUUUUUGUGUUUCAUCUUUCCACGGUUUUACCGUCCCCCACACCUCCCUCCCCCGUUGCGGCUUAGCUUGGCGACCGCGCUUCAACAGUACUAUUAAUUCAAGAGAAAAAAUUAAAAAAACCCUAGAAAAGACAAAAAGAGAGCAGGGGAAAAAAGACAAAAGGUUUUGUUGAAUUCCGUGUAGCGAGUGCAGACGAGUGUCCGGUGUGUUGGAGAUCAGAACGUGGGUUUGUACUUUUCCAAUUUUAUUUUACGGGAAUAUCUUUAGGUUUACCGAUGAAGACGUGGUUCCAGGCCGGGGUCAGCAUUCUCUGGAGGGUAUUAUUGGCAAAUUUGUCUAGUUGGUACACAGUGGAUUCAGUACACUGCAAACGGCCGUAUUAAAUUGUGAUGCAAGUUUCAAGAAGUAAGGGGUGUAGGGCCCUCAUCCACUGUACAUAAUCGUGUAGGUUAAAAACGUAUGCAGUGCAACAUCACAUGAAUAAACCCUUGCAAUUUGCGUUGAAGAUAUGUUUUUCUUGUUUUUGUUUCCAUUGCUUUGAAAUGUUGCCGAAAUCAAAUCAAUUCGAAAGUUUCAUUCAGUACUUACAUUUCUCUUUUUCUCUUUUUCUCUUUUUCUCAACUAUAUCGUAUAGAAGUUUGAUGCCUGAGCAAUUUUCUUGUAAUUAAAGCUUAAGCCUAUGUAAAAAAGAAAAGUAAAAUAAAAAAAUUGUAAAAAAAUAAAAAAUGUUUAAAAUAAAUAAUUUAAUUAUACACCACUGCCUCCAAAAACCUGAUGGUCUUCAUCAGCAAACCGUCCACUCAUGCAACUCCUAAAAUCUGAGUUUCUCCAUAACCAAACCAUGUACACCAUCAGCACCUUCUAGAAAAAUCUGUUGUCCUCAACUGUAAGGAAUCUGAUCCGUAUUCAUCUCCAAAAGAGCUGAUCGUUCCCGAUAUGCGUGUGGAGCCUUAAAAAAUUGAUGGUGCCUCUAUGAUUUUCCUAUGAAAGAAUCUGCUCCCCAAUCUCCAUGGAGUGUGCCCAGAAUGCCUCCUGGUUGUGUGAUCCCUUUCGUGACGAUGGAUUUUUCUUUAUGGAUGACGAUCGAUGUGGACUGAUGGUGUGUGUGUCAGAGCCUAAAAUAAAAAAUAAAAAAAUUGAAUCCCUCCUUAUAUGCCGUAAUGUGUUGUUGGAUGUGUGCCCCCCUAAAAAAAUAGGUGCAGGCUCUCUAGAUCUCCAUGGUGAGUGCGUGUGGGCCGCCAUACCUUCCCACCGAGUGCCGAGUGGUGCGUGGUGUCUUGCUGAAUCCUUCACAAAGCUAGAAUCAUGAUGCGCCCUCACAUGCAACCUCCAUCAUCCACGGAAGAAACACAGCAAUCCGCAUGUGGAAGCUCCUUGGAAAAUCCCUUUAUGGCAGCUUUUAUUAUUCUCUUCAAUUGGCAGUCUGUGUCGGCCUGAAUCCUGGAGUAUUGUUGCGUAUUGACUUCUUCUCACAUGGAUGAAUGUGGCUCCCUCUCUCUCUCUCAGAAUUCCCCUUUUUCUUUUCUCACAGUUCCGCAAUCUGCCUCUCCUGGCCAACGGUGCAUACGGACUAUUUUUUAUAUUACGGUGAAGGAGAAUAUCGGAAGAAACAGGAAAGUAAAAUCAAAAUCCAUGAAUGAGUAUGGGAAUAUGGGGAUGUGGUUGUGCAUGGGGAUUCGCUGUGCAUUACUCUUUCCUUUUUCAGUUGUGUGCCUCCUAUCUUUGCCAAAUUUUGGGGAUUGCUCUCAUGGUAAGUUGAUAACAGCUCUUCUCUUAAAAGAUCAGAUGAUGCUCCCUCAUCCAACUUAUUGCCAUUGAAUUUUCAUGCAAAAAUGAAGAGGAAAUACAUGUUAGAACCUUGGAAUAUAAUAACGAAAGAGAAAUCAGGCAAAUUUAAGAAGGAAAAAAAAAAAAAAAUCAAUACAUGCAUGUAUAAGAAAAACUAAAAUAUUAACUCAUGUAAAAUUUUAAAAACAAAAUCACCAACCUCAUGCAUUUUUUUAAGAAUAAUUAAAUAGAUAAAUAAAUAAUUUAAUAAAUAAAUAAAUAAAUCAAAUAUAUGCAAUCAAUAAUCUAAAUACUAAACUAGAAUGUAGUAGUAGUAGUAAUAAUAAUAAUAAUAAUAAUAAAAAUGAAAUAUCGAAUUCAUACAAUUAAAUUUCGAAAAUUCAUUUCAAGCAAUCAGAAAUCAAAAUCAUGCCAAAAUACUCACCUAAAACUCAAAAUCAUGCAAUCAAGAAAAACAAACCUAAGUGAACUAUACCUAGUGAAGUGUCUAAGUGAUCCUAUCCUAGAAAAACAAAAAAAUGGAGCCUAGCCUAAAAAGUACCUAAAUGAAGUGGUGGAAAGUGCCUAACUGACUUGAGUAAAGUCUAACCUAAACUCGAAGGGUGGGCAAGGUCACAAUGAGGAUUCAAAUGAGUCCAUCAACGAAGGAUUCCUAAAGAAGGCUAAAAAAAUUAGCUAUAUAAGUGUUAAUGGGCCACCAAGGGAUGACCACGAGUCAAGAGAGAAGUACAGGAAGACACCUAGUGUAAUAUGUGCUAAGAGGAUAAAAUAGAGAUUCUAUACGUGGAUGUGGAUCAAGUUGUAGGUACUGGAGAAUAAGUUUUUAGAGUAAAACAACUAAGUAAAUCUAUGUAACUUGAUAUCAUAUAAUGGGUUUAAAUUAGCAGUCUUAGACCUCAUGGUUUUUUUAUUUCCAUAGUUAGUAUGAGGGUGUUCCAUGCAAAAAUCCUUGUGCCUUUUUGCUUAUAUUUUGAUUGCAUUGCCUAUCUUUGGUUGAAUCGAUAAUCCCUAACUACUCAUUGGGAAAAAGUUUGUUAUAAUUUAUAAAUAAUUAAUUGAUUUUUUAAAUAUAGCUAUUCACUACCCCUUUAGGUGUUACCCUACUAGACUUCGGGGCUUUUUAAAAAAUUAAUCAUUUGAUACUUUAUGUGGAUUGAUUCUUAUGGAUAAAUAUAAGUUAGUUAAUUUGAAAUUUAUGAUUAGUAUGCCAUAUUCCCUUGAGUUUAUAUAUUGCCAUUUUCCUUCCUUGAUUAGAGACUUGCUAUGUAUAUAUAGGUUUAGUUUUUAAUUCUUCUUUAAGCUCAUAAUUAUUCUUAAUUUAUGAAUUAACCUCAUUCUUGUGAAAGUGUUUCAUAUGCUAUCAAGGUAUUCUUCCUUUCCUUCUCUCUUUGUUUCCAUUAGUAUGUAUGUUUAAUUCUCAUGAUUGAUUUACCUUGCUUUGUUUGAUUUCUAUAUUGUUGUAACUAUGCUAUUUGAUUUUGAGUGAAAUGCACAUUAUGUAUGAGAUUGUUGCUUGUGAACUUUCUUAUUUUAUGAAAGCAUUUGGCAUGCUAAUAAGUUACAUUCUUUCCUUUGUUUUGACUAUUGAUUUGUUGAGUGUGCAUUACUUAACUAAAUGUUCUUUGAUUACACUUUCAUUCAUAUUUUGAUAUAUCCUUGAUUUAUGGUAUCUACUGAUUUACAUUUCAAUUGCCAUAGUUACCUCAAUUUAUUUAGUAGAGGCUUAUUUUAGGACUUAGAGGGGUGCUACCUUGUGGUGCCUUCCCAAUAAGCUGACCCCUAGACUUGAACUUAGUUUUCAAAGACAUGCUUUCCAAAACAAGGAGUCAUUUUUAGGGUUUUAUUUCUUAUUUUGUUUUCCCUCUAAAAAAUAAAUAAAAAUAAGUGAUGACUUUAAUUUUUAUAAAAAUCAAUUUUUAACUAAAGAAACGAGUCUUGCCAUCGAGUGGGAACUCAUAUGAAAAAUAGGGUUCACACUUACCUAAAUUUCCACUAUGAGUGCUAGUUGCAAACUUGUUUUUAGAGGCACAAGUUUCAUAAUCAUCACCAAUAUUCAAGUUAUCUUUUUUAACAAUAAUUGACUUUAGUUUGUUAAUCUAAGGGAAUACCACAAGAAGACUUAGAGUUGGGUUGAAUUCAUAGUUUUUUUUAUUAGAGCACAAAGUAGAGAGAACUUAGAAUGCCAUGGAGGAAGAAAAUGCUUGUUCAUCAAAUACCACAUUGAGUGCUAUAUAAAUUUUAUUAAGGGGCUUAAGCACUUGUAACCAUUGUGUAUAUUACUAUACUCUGAUUGCUAUUUUCUAUUGUCCAAAAUCAGAAGCCCUUUUACCUAAUAACUUUAGUUAAGAAAAAUUAGAGAAAGAAUCACUACAAGCUUUUGUAGUUUUCCAUGUAUCAUCUUGAAGGACUGACCUAUAGAAGCUGUAAAACUAGGUUUAAAAGAUUGCUUACUGUAUAAUUCUUUAAACUAGGAAUGUGUAAAAUUGAUUUGAAUGAAUUUGUAAUUACUAAAAUAACUAAAUUUAAUUACUGAAGAAUUAUUGAAUUCUAAUUCAAAUGAUUAAAGAUUAAAAGGCUCCACAAUCCAACUUUAGGUAUAGGGAUUUAGGCAAAACAAGGGUAUCAAUUUUAGUUAAUCUUAAGGUAUUCAAAAGGUGAGGUUAAAUGAGAUCAACUUGAGUUCAAUUACUCAGGGUUGCAUUAAUAUCCAAACUUUUAAUAUUUUAUUCCAUUUUGAAACACCUAUUAGAUAAAUGAUUUAAAAUCUAGGUUUAUUUCUAAAAAAUUAGGUCUUUACCACUUAGUGUAGCUUUGCCUUAGGGUAUAUAACAAUGACAAAACCUUAGAUAACUAGGGAUUAAGAAUUACUAAGAAUCUCUAGUAUCAAUGAAUGAACAAUUAUACCAUCUCCCAAUUAAAUCUAACUUUUUUUAUUUUGAUGCUAAAUGCCUUUGAUGGUUAGAGAAGUUUUUCUUCAUACAUUUUAUUGAAUGAAUACAAACAUAUAUAUCAGUAUAGAAAUACAAUCAUGUUAUUUAUUUUAGGCUAUGAACUAUCUUAGGUUAAGAAUAUGGUUGAACCUUGUAAAAGAGGAAAAAAUUACAAAAAAUAAAUUUAGCAACCAAUCAACCCUCCAAUUAAGUCUUGAUUGGAAACUCACGCUAACACUUCCCCUCAAGUUGGUGCAUAGAUAUCGCUAAUGCCUAACUUGUCAAGUGAGUUGUAGAAGAUCUUGUUGGAGACGACCUUCGUGAGUAUAAUCGCUAGUUGGUCUUUAGAUUUAACAAAUGAGAAUCGAAUUAUCUUGGCUUCAAGGUUUUGUUGGAUGAAAUGUCGGUCCACCUCAAUGUGUUUAGUACAAUCAUGUUGGAUUAGAUUAUGCGACAUGUUGAUGGUUGCCUUAUUGUCACAAAAUAAGUUCAUUUCGAAAUUGGCAACAAAGCCAAUCUUGGUCAACAAUCUCUUAAGCUAAAGAAGUUCACAAAGUCCUUUGGCUAUUUCUCUUAACUUGACAUCAGCAGUAGAUAAUGCCGCUACUUUUUGCUUCUUGCUCCUCCAUGUGACAAGAUUGCCUCUUACAAAGGUGAAGUAGCCCGACGUAGACUUUCUAUAAAAAAAACUAACUACCACAUCCAUAUGAUUUCUACUAGAUGAGUGCAUAAACUAAUUGACUAUGCUUAUAGCAUAAGCAAUAUUUGGAUGAGUAUGAGAUAAAUAAAUUAAAUUGCCUACUAAUCUUUGAUACCUCUCCUUGUUAGUUGGCACCUGAUCUAGGUACUCUCCAAGCUUGUGAUUCUGGACAAUCAGAGUAUCGAUUGGCUUAUAGUCAAGUAAUCCCACUUUAGAUAAUAAAUCUAGCACAUAUAUCAUUUGAGAAAGAAAUAUACCUUUUCUUGAUCUAGCUACUUCAAUCCCUAAGAAAUAUUUGAGACCUCUAAGAUUCUUCAUUUUAAACUUGGUUGCUAAUCUCUUUCGGAGUCUAGAGAUCUCUUUCUUGUCAUCCCUUGUGAUAAUCAUAUUAUCCACAUAGAUUAUUAAAGUUGUUACUUUUUCCUACCGAUGUUUCAAAAAUAGAAUAUGAUUUUAGCUGUUGUGAUAGAAAUCUUACUUCCUUAUAGCUAAGCUAAAUUGUCUAAACCAAGCACGAGGUGAUUGUUUUAGACCAUAUAAUGAACGUUGAAACUUAUAUACAACCCUUGUUUCUUAGGAAGCCAUGUAUCCUGGUGGAAUAUCCAUAUAAAUCUCUUUCUUAAGAUCAUUGUGAAAAAAUAUGUUCCUUACAUCAAAAUAUUGCAAUGGCCAGUCUAAAUUUGUGGCAAGAGAUAACAAGAACCUAAUAGUAUUUAGUUUUGCCACUAGUGAAAAAGGUCUCUUGAUAGUCUAUGCCAUAUGUUUGUGUAUACCUCUUUGCCACAAGUCUCGUCUUGUAUCUCUUAAUGGAUCCAUUCGCCUUAUGUUUAAUAGAGAAGACCUAUUUGCAUCCUAUUGUCUUUUUUUCUUAUGGCAAUGGAAUAAGAUUCCAUGUUUUAUUUUUCUAUAGCACCUCAAUUUCUUAUUUUAUCACUUGAGCCCACUUUGGAUUUGUUAAGGCUUCUUAUAUUCCAUUGGGAACAUGACAUAUAGAUAAGUUGUGUGCAAACACCCUGAGAGGUUUUGAUAAUAUUUGAGUUAAUACAUGGUUGGCAAUUGGAUAUUUUGAUCUCCUUUCCUCAAAAUCUGAUGAGUACCGAUUUGGGGGCUUUCCACAGUUAUGUCUUAAUUAAAGGUAAGUUAUAACUAAUAGGGGUAUCCAAGUCAUUAAGAGGAGAAGGUGUAAUGGGAAAGCUUACUUUAGGAGUAUUCUAAGGAGACAAGUCGUUGGGUACUGAAGAGUAGGGGUUACUAUGAUUUCAGUUUCCAAUCCAAGUUUAGUUUCCUAUGUAGGGUUAUUGCCACUCCUUACUUGCCCAAUCUUUUGCUUCAUAAUGGUUCUAUUCUCCUCACUAACCACCAUUUCAUUUUGAUCACUCAACUGUCAAGUUGUUUAAUUUUGGUUUGUAUUAUAGUUUAUUCAAAUGUAACAAAAUCCCACCAAUUUUGUUGUUCAUCUUGUAUCUCCUCUUGAACGAAAGAAUUGGACACUAGUGAAGAGAAAAAACUUUCAGACUCCGUAAAAGUAAUGCCCAUGGUAACAUAGGUACGCCUUGUGGUAGGAUUGUAACAUCAAUAUCCCUUUUCUUGUGUGCCAUACCAAUGAACUACACAAGAGUCAAGCUAUUGCAUUGGUUUUUAUGGAUAUGAACGAAGGCAACACAUCCAAAAACUCAAGGAGCGAGGAAUCAACAAGAUAGAAGGUACUAGAGAAAUGUGAAUAGAAAGAACCUGUAAUAGAGUCUUAAAAUUCAACAUCUUUGAGAGCAUAUGGUUCAACAGAUGUACUAUCGUGACCACAACAUUAUCCUAGUACCAGCUUAGCACAUGUGCUCCAAUCAAUAAUACAUGAGUAGUUUCUAGGAUAUGUCUAUUUUUUCACUCGACAACUACAUUUUGUUGUGGUGUUUGAGUAUAGGAGGUUUCAUGAAGAAGACCAGGAUUCUAAAAGCAAGCUUGAAAUUCUUUAUUUAUAUACUCUUUACAAUUUUCAUGAUGAAGAAUUUAAGCUUUAGCUGAAAACAAAGUUUGAAUCAUAGCAUGAAAAGUCCGAAACACACCAAACACCUCAUCUUUAUGUUUCAACAAGUACAACCAAGUCAUUUGAGUACAAUCAUCAACAAGUAUCAUAAACCAACAAAUUCUAGAAAUAGUAGUAAUCGGGGAAGGUUCCCAAACAUCAGAAUGAAUUAAGGUAAAAAGAUUAUCACUUUUAUUCAAGCUUAUUGAAAAGGAUGCACGAUGACUCUUAGCUAAAAUGCAUGUUUCACAUUUAAAAUCUAAAUCAUGUAAAUUAGAAAAUAAUUCUAGAAACACGUACUUCAUAUGACUAAACGAUGGAUGUCCCAAACGCUGAUGCCAUAGCUAAAUCUAUAUUUCCCUUACACUAGUUAACUGUUUCAUCUUAUUUGCUCUACCAAGACUAAGAUCAUCCAUAUAGUAUAACCCCUCUCUCUUAGUAGCACUCCCAAUGAUUUCCUUUGUGAGAACAUCCUAAAACAGAUAAAAAUUAGGGCUAGCCUAUAGAAAAGCAACACAAUUUAAUUCUUCAGUGGCUAGACUUACAAACAUCAACUUAUUUGAGAAGGAUGAAACUAGUAAAUUAUUAGACAAAAAGAGAGGGUGAGAGAGCAACAGUUCGAGUCCCCGUAACUAGACAUUUGACCAUAUUCACAUUGGCAACACCACUUCAUUGUGGUUAGGUAACCUUGAUAAAAUCAUUCGAAUUGAACAUCAUGUGAUCAAUUACCCCCGAAUCAACAAUCCAACCACUGUAAUUAUCUUGAUCAAAACUAAGCAGUGUAGAGCCACAAGUACCUUAAUUAUCAAGAAUAGUUAAAUCGCUUAGAGAUUCCACUUGUGGAAUAAAAGAUAAGUGAGGUUUUGCAUUUAGCAAAGAAACUCGUACCAACUUGCUAUUAGCAUUAGCUUCACGUUGUUUCUGUGCCUUGAGUUUGUUCCACCAUUCUGGAUACCCAUGUAACUUGAAGUAAGUUUCAUGAGUAUGCUUAUGUUCCUAUAAUGUGAAUAACCUUUUUUUUAUUGUGCCUUUGGGGUUGUAUUCAUCUUUCAUUCUCUAAUAGUGGAAGAUCCGAUUUUAGACAUUUGGAGCAUUGAUGGCUAUUAAGGUCCCAUCUUGACUCCUUUAGAGGCCAUAGCAACACCAGGUGUAGGUUUCGUGCCUGAUAUCAUAACAACCUGUCUUAUGUCUCCCUCUUAAACAUGAGCAUAAGCCUAUUCAAUUAUAAGAAAUGGUCGAAUUUGGGGCACAUCAACCCGAAUAUUAUCUAGGCGAUUAUCCAACCCAUCGAGAAAGAUAAAAACUUUAUCUUCUUAUAGGGUCGAAUUAUAUCUUUAUAUAUUAGUGGGACACUCCAUCAGGUUAGGGCGGUGAAAGUCAAUUUCUUUACAUAAGCCUUGAAGACCAUUAUAAUAUGUUUCAAUAGACUUUCUAGUUUGCCUCAUUCUAGUAACACGCCUUUUCAAAUCAUACACUUGAGAUAUGUUAGUUCCAUCAAAAUCGGUUGUAGCAAUCUUAUCCUAUACCAUUUUUGCAGUGGGAAAACAAAUAAAAUUAGUUAUCAAAGUCAGGUCCAUGAAAUUAAUUAACCAUUCUUUCACAAUUGCAUUUUUAGUUCUCUUUGUUCUGAAGGUUAGAUAUGUCGAUGGAAGCUGUGGAAAGUCCCUAUUGAUGUAUCCCAAUUGGUCUUUGCCAGAGAUAUACAUUUCAACAACUUGGGACCAUAAGGCAUAGUUGGUGUCAUCCAACUUAAUGUCAAUCUACACAGUAGAAGAGAUGUAGUUUGGUACUUGGGUUUGAGUCUGAUUCUGGGUCAAGACUUGCGUCAUCUAAGCGCUAAGGCUUCGAGGAUGGUAGUAGUAGAGUUCUCGCCAUGUUGCUAGUAUGCCACCAAGUCAAUUGGUUUCAUCAUAGUUUCUGAUAAGGUUUGGAUUUUUUUUUUUUUUGGUUGUAGUAGAAAACCCUAAGAUUGUUGCUUUGGUACCAUGAUGGUCAGGGAAGUUUUUUCUUCAUAUAUUCUCUUAAGGCUAUAGGAAUUUUUUUAUUUUUAUUUUUAUUUUUCUUGUUCUUUUGUAGUUUCCUAUUUCUUUUGGGUGGAAUAUUGUAAGAUUGGCAUCGAACAAGAUUUCAUUAUAAAAGUAUAAUUCAUUGUCUCUUUUUUGUUACCAUGAAUGUACCAUUAUACUAUGGUGAUCUUGUUUUCUUUAUAUUAAUGAUUCAAGUCAUAGGUAUGAAUAGGAGUAUUUGAUAUAGUCUUUAUUGCUUAUGUUAGGUUUAUUCUAUAUUUCUAUUUCAUUUAUUUUCAUCUAUUGUUAUUAUCAUUUUUCUUCAUUUUCUAGAUGUGAAUAUGGUACUAAGAUGAGACUUCUUAAUAAACUGAAGGUUUUUUUUUUUUAGAAAAUUAAACUCUAAGAAUUAAAAUUAUCUAUAUAAAAAAUAAAAAAUGAAACUUUUUUUCUUAAAAAUAAAUCCGAAUUUCUUUUUAAAAAAAAUCAAAAAACUUAUUUUAAAACUAUAAAAGAUCUUUUUUUUUAUAUAUAAAAUAAAACAGUAAUAUUGUUUUUUAAAUAAAUUGUAAAUACAAUAGAAAAUCAUUUUUUUUCAAUGUGAAAGUCAUUUUUUAAGUAAAAUAUAAAAAUCAAUUUAUUUAAUAGAAAAAUAAAACCUUUUUUAAAAAAAAAUAAAAUUGCAAAGAAUUUUUUAAAAAUAAAAUUGUAAAACUUUUUUGUAAAUAAAAUUUUAAAAACCAUCUUUUAAUAAUAAAAAUAUUUUUUGGUAAAUAAAAUUAAAUUGGAUUUUCAUACUUUCUCAAAUUUGGUACACAUCCUAAGGUAGCAUCGACUAAGGCAAUUAGCUACUAGAUUUGUGAUUUGUGGAGAGUCACUAUAUAGACAUUUGACUAUCGGUAUCUUUUCGUUAUGCUUGGAUAGAGCAUUUGCUAAUUAGGUGAUAAGAGAGGUUCACGUGAGAGUUUGUGGACUAAUUAUGUUUUGUUGAUCAUGGAGAUAGAUUAUUGUAGUUUAUCCAGAGAUACCUAGAGUGUUAGAUGCAUGGUGACCUCAUUCAUGUUCCACCAUAUGAUUUACAUGUUUUGACCUCACCAUGACCUUUUUCAAUAUAGGACCUUGGCAUUAUUGGAAAAAUUUCACCAAAAGCUUCCAAUGGCCAUGAGUUCAUCCUUGUUGCCAUUGAUUACUUCACCAAGUGGGUUGAGGCAACCUCAUAUGCAAAGUUGAAUGCAUCUAGAGUUGCAACUUUAUUAUGUCACAUAUUAUUUGUUGUUAUGGGUUCCUUAUGAGUCAAUUUCUUAUAGAAGAGUGCAUUUUAAUGCUAAGGUUGAUACUUUGUUAUAAUGGUAUGGCAUUCAACACCAUCGAUCGUCUGCUUACAUGCCUCAAACUAAUGGGACAAUAGAGGUUACAAAUAAGAACAUUAAGGGGAUUAUGAGAAAGAUGGUUGAGACUUCUCAAGAGUAGUAAAAGAAACCCCCUUUCACAUUGUAGGCAUAUCGCACCUCAUUCUGCACCUUUAUGUGAGCUAUGUAUUAUUCUUUAGCAUAUGCCAUGGAGGCAAUACUACCUAUUAAGAUAAAGAUGAGAUAAUUAAGGGCAGUGAUAGAAAAAAUAGAUAUUUGAGAUAAUAUGAUAGAGCAAACGAUUUGAUCAACUUAUUUUCUUAAAUGAGAGGAGAUUGAGGGUAACAGAUCAAGUUCAUGCUUAUCAAAGGAAGAUAACAUGCAAAAAGCGAGUUUAGCCUAAAUAGUUAUAGAAAGGUGAUUUAGUGUUGAGGUUCUCAAAGGAUUACUUAGAGAACCCCACAACAAGUUUAGGCCUAAUUGGAGUGGACCUUACAUUAUUAAAGAGUUAAUCUCAUAGGAGGUUGCAUGGUUGAUGGAUUUGGAUGGAAAUCUAUUUUUGGAGCUAACCAAUGUGGAUCAACUAAAAAAGUACUAUGUUUGAGACCAUGGUUAGAGGAUGAGUAACCUAUUAAGAUAGAGUCCUUAAAAGCAUGAUAAGAUAUAAUAAAAUUUUAGAUUUUAUUCUUUAUUAAUAAAAUUUCCAAUUCACUUUUAUCCUUCUUCAUUUCAUGCAUUAUAUCUUAUAAGCAUUCUGAUAUGCAUCUCUUACAUUAUAUGUGACUUGGGUGCAUUAGGAGUUGCGUGAAAUAUCCAAGCCAUGGGUUCCUUGCAAGUAAAUGACUUGUUCACAACCACUUUGUAGGUCUAGGCAAUCUAUUAGAGGUUGUAGUAUACUACCUUCUAAUUGGAGAGAUAGUUGGUCUUGGCCAUCGAGAUGAGUUUCCUAUGGUAAGUGAUUCAUGCCUAAUUGGCGUGCCAGCUGAUUCGUGUCUAGCUGGUGCUCCUUGUUUGAGGGAGUAAUCAACAAAAUUUAUAACCUAUAACACCAUAUACUAGGGUAGCAAAGAAAAAGCUACUAUAGUAUAGUGGCUCUAGGAUCGUUCACUGGGAAGGAUUAACAAGCUAUCAAUGAUACCAAUUCCAAGUGAAUUGGUCUUGUUUCAUUUCAAGGUUAGCUUAAGAAAUAAAACACAAACUUUGAUUGGUAAAGAUUUAAACUAACUAACAUAACAAGUACUCGGAAUAACUUAGGAAGAAAAGCAUUCCUUGGAGAGUUAGGUUCACUGGGGUGGUUCCUCAUGCAAAAGACAUAGCUCCGGUCAGAUGGUUCCUUUCCUCGCGUUAGAGAUUCAACAUAUAGUCAAUUCUCUAACCGGUGUUGUACAGAUACCUCCUUCAAUUAGAUUUCACUUUAAUUCUCUCACUGAUGCAACUUGCAAUGGUUUAAGCCUCUCACUAAGCCGUAACCAUUCAAGGUGAUCUUUAACCUUGGAUUACCCAUCAAAAGCUCGCAAGAGAUAACUAAUGGAUGUCUCCUUGGAGUCCAAAAGCUUACCAAGUGUUGGCUAUUCUAGAAAAUCCUACCCUAAAGUCACCUCCCAGAGGCUCGCAAGGGGUAAACUAGUGCAUUUCCAUGGUUGGAAAUCACUUUCCUUACCAAGUGUUGGCCCAGGUGACUCUAAGGUGUUUUAAGUUAACUAAAAACAUAGAAAUCACUAAAGGAUUUCACUUCCUCUUUAUUAAUAGCUAAAACCACAAAGCUUUGCAUUCUUGCACUUGGAACCUUCCCCGACAACCUUAGCUCCAAGGAAUUAGAGGUUUAGUUACUCAUUCUCUGGGGAAAACUCCUCAGAGAGUUCAUAACUUAGUAAGAAAAUAAAAAUACAAAGUGAGAAGGUAAGACAAUACAAAGAAAAUAAAAAUACAAAGUGAGAAGAUAAGGCAAUACAAAGAACUGAACUUUACUUGCUUACCCAAAACUUUACAAAAUGAUCUCCUCUCUAAGAACAGGCUCCCGAGAGGUAUAUAUAUGAACAUAAUAUAAAACUUAUUAUUACAUAGAUAUUUACUCUUUUUUAUUAACUUAAAAGUUAAGGAAUCUUGUAAUUGGUGGCUUACAAGGAGUAUUUUGGGAUUUAGACAACAAAAAUCUGAUGUAAAAUAUCUCCCAAUGUCGGUAGCAAAUAUCGGGAUGCUCCAAGAACCAUUUCGCAAGAGAAAAUGGUGUUUGCGAGAUUUCGCAGGCACUCAAGAAGGGCUGCGAAAUCAUUUUGCAACAACAUGCUAUCUUCGCAGGGUUGCGAAGUUGGCUUCCACCUUGAGGUUCUCAGCUCCCAGCUUGCGGCAUAUAUCGGGCAACUUCAGAAGGAAAUACACCCUACUGUACAAAAAGGCUGCGAAAUCACUUCGCAACAAAAGGGUGAUUUCGCAGCACUUUGCAAAAUGCUUCCUUCAGCUUGGAGUGAUUGGCUUCCACUGGCUGCAACUUCUUCGUUUCAACUCUGAAUUGCACUCCGUUUGAAGCAUUGGAUUGUUGACUUCUUGAGCUUUGAAAUGGUAUAUAGAAUGCAUCAAUUGGACUCCAGAAAGUGCUCCAAAAGUGGCUGCUACAACUGUCAUCAAGAAUAUGCUUCAUGGCAGAUUCUCUUUACUUUUUCUCCUUGCAAAUGCGGAUUUAUUCUUGGCAAAUGACUUCCAAGCUUUACCCAAGGUUCCUCAAAACUCUCCUCAAACUUGAAUUGCUUUGGUGAUCAAAUUACUAACAAAAACACCAAAACUUACAUAAAGUGAUUAAAAUUGCUUUCAAGGGUCCUUAACAUGCCAAUUGAGUUAAAAGACCAAAACUACUACUCAAAAGUGUUUAAAAGGAUUAAUUAUAAGCUAUCAAAUAACACUUUUUGAGUAGUAAUCACUCCCCCUAACCGACAUAUUGCUAGUCCCUUAGCAAUAUAGGAAAGAAAAAUUGAAAAUAAAAAGCAAACUAACCUAUAAUGUACAACAUCAUGCUGAUAAAAAACAAUUCUCAAGUGGCAUGAUGAUCUAAUUCUCUCAUGAAACCUUAAAGAAAUAUAAAAUCAAAUUUCAACAAGAGUUAUAACAAACUAUGCUAAACACUGUCAAACAAGGGAAUGCAUUAUGCAAACUGAAGUUUUAAAAUCAUUUCCACUUUCAAAGAACCAAACUUUAUUCUUCCUCAAAAAUCUAUGUGUACUGGUUCCUUAGCUUCCGAGAAUAAUAUGCUAAACUAAUCUCUCCCCCCAACCUAUCUUUUUUUUCAACACUUAGCAAACUGACCAAAAUCAAUAAAGAAAGAACACACUUUUUUUUUUUUUUUUUUUAAGGAGGCUUUAUGGGGUAAUCUUUCUGAAUUGUCCAUGUAAUGGGGGUCCAUCGAUGACUCCCAACCAAUUAAGGUUUAGGGCAUCAAGUUUUAAGGAUCUUUCAACCACUAACUCCUCGGAUUUUUCCCCGGACUUUUGAGAAUGAAUUUUUUAUACCCAAGCAUCUACCACAUGCUAACUCCACCUAUCCACCCUUGUAACGAGCAUUGAGGUCGGUGACUCCCAACCAAUUAAGGCUUAGGGCACCAGGCUUCAAAGAUUUUCACCAUAUACCCCUCAGACCUUGCUCGGGUUUUAAGGCAAGCAAACAACUUUCUUUAUUUCAAAGGCUCAUUGGCCUUUUGCAAGGUGUUUCAACUUUAUAAAAUGAGGUCAAAUAUACCAAGUCCCAAAAUUAUCCUAAGUCAAGAGGGAAAUAGCUUUUCAUGUUAUAAUCGGAAUCUAAUGUGCAGUGUGUGAAUAGCUUAAAGUGGAAGAACUAAAAUUCAAUUUCAAUAGAAGCUUCAACAAUUGAACCACUUUAGUGAGCAUAAUCCCAAUACUCUAAAGUCAAGUGAAAAAGCAACAGUUCAAUUUUCCUCCUGUUUUAUUUUGAAAAUUUUUCCUUCAAGAAUCCAUGGGAGAGAAUAAAGUAAAAAGGAGUAAAAAGCCAAAAACCUACACACUAAUUUACCAAAAUAAUUUGCAUUACUAAAAAAGGCUUAGCAUACUUCAUUUUAUUUAGCAUACCUUCCCUUCCUCAUUUCCCCCCAACUGAACUGAGCAUUGUCCUCAAUGUGAUAUGAGUGAUUGUAAUUAANNNNNNNNNNNNNNNNNNNNNNNNNNNNNNNNNNNNNNNNNNNNNNNNNNNNNNNNNNNNNNNNNNNNNNNNNNNNNNNNNNNNNNNNNNNNNNNNNNNNAAUUAAGGUUUAGGGCAUCAAGUUUUAAGGAUUUUUCAACCACUAACUCCUCGGAUUUUUCCCCGGACUUUUGAGAAUGAAUUUUUUAUACCCAAGCAUCUACCACAUGCUAACUCCACCUAUCCACCCUUGUAACGAGCAUUGAGGUCGGUGACUCCCAACCAAUUAAGGCUUAGGGCACCAGGCUUCAAAGAUUUUCACCAUAUACCCCUCAGACCUUGCUCGGGUUUUAAGGCAAGCAAACAACUUUCUUUAUUUCAAAGGCUCAUUGGCCUUUUGCAAGGUGUUUCAACUUUAUAAAAUGAGGUCAAAUAUACCAAGUCCCAAAAUUAUCCUAAGUCAAGAGGGAAAUAGCUUUUCAUGUUAUAAUCGGAAUCUAAUGUGCAGUGUGUGAAUAGCUUAAAGUGGAAGAACUAAAUUCAAUUUCAAUAGAAGCUUCAACAAUUGAACCACUUUAGUGAGCAUAAUCCAUACUCUAAGUCAAGUGAAAAGCAACAGUUCAAUUUCUCCUGUUUUAAUUUGAAAAUUUUUCCUCAAGAUUCAUGGAGAAUAAAGUAAAAAGAGUAAAAAGCAAAAACUACAACUAAUUUACCAAAAUAAUUGCAUUACUAAAAAGGCUUAGCAUACUUCAUUUUAUUUAGCAUAACUUCCUUCCUCAUUUCCCCCCAACUGAACUGAGCAUUGUCCUCAAUGUGAUAUGAGUGAUUGUAAUUAAAGGGAUGAAGUGGUACCUCCUGAGUGAUAUCAAUUUCGCAUAUUGAUUGGAGAAAUCACAUGUUUAAAAAAGAAUAGAAUAUGUGAGAAAAGGAAAUAAGGAUAACUUAAUGCUAAAGGUUAACAAGAAAUAUUAAACUUGUAUUACUUUUAAUCUAUUUGAGUACAAUGUAAAAGAAAAGCAAUACAAACAAUCCCAAAUAUAGUACCAAAAUAAUGGGAUUUCUUUCCAACUAAAAAAAAUGAAAUACAUAAAAGAAAAGCAAUAUAUAUAUAUAUAUAUAUAUUGAUGAGUGGGUGGUGCUGGGGCUAGGCAGAUGGGUCUGCCUCUUCAGCUGGUGCUUCAGAUGGGGCCUGAGGCUCUGGAGGAUGAGAGUGUGGCUCUGCUGUGGUAGAUGUAGAGGGCUCAACAGCUGGUGGCAGGUCGAAAUGAAGCUGGAGCUGCCUUAAGAUGGCAGUGUGUUGAGCCUGAGUGGCCAACAUCUGCUCUUGGCAUGCUCUAAUGGCUGCCAUCUCUUGAGCAAGACUGCUCUGAGAUGCUGUGAGGGUCUCCAAUGCACGGCACAACUCUCGAUAUUCAGAAAUGGGUAUGGCCAUCCUCGGCUCAACUGAAGUGGAUGCUGAGAUGAAGCUGGAGUAGCUGGUGGAGCUCUGGGAAUGGCAGGAACAGCAACUGUUAUACCCUCAGGUAUGUGUCAUGGGGAUGCUCUCCUUGCAGCUGGUUGUGGGCGCUCAGGCUGAUCAACUCUAUAAGCUGUCAUGUUGUUCCAUUUGUUAAGAGUGAAUAGCUCACGUCAAAUGCGCUUGCGCUCCAAUUGAGGCUUAGAAGGAUACCCCAAGUGCUCCAGAAUUUGGCAUAGCAGCCUUGGAAAGAGGAGGGGAAUGACAUCAGCCCUCUGAAGCUUCUUUUUGUGUACCUUUCUUCGAAAUAGAGAAGGGCUGCCAGAAUUAGAUGAUGAGGCCCAAAGAAAAAUCCCUCAGACAUCUUGUACAGGGCUUCUAAGAGGACUUCUCUUCUUUGAGUCCAAUGCUGCAGAGGGUAGAGAUUAUGACGCAAAAAUACAUCAAUCAGAAACAUGAUUGGAGGAAGCUCCCCCCUCAACAGAUGUGAUCGCGUAGCAGCUCAUCUGGACAGGGUGUGCACCAUCUCCAGCUCAGUAUGACUGGUCCAAGCUCUAAAAUCAUUGAAAUGGCUUGGCUCAUAGGGAAUCCGCAAGGCUUUAGCUAUAUGGCGUGCUCCCAAUAUGCCAUGCCUCCCAUCAAUAGUGAAAUGAAUUAAAGUUGGAUUCCUGACCUGUUUGGUUGUCAUGGAUUGAUAGAAAUCCAUGGCUACCCUUGGGUAGAAAAAGUCUCUCGGAGUCAGUAGGUGCUCCAUGUGGUAUCUCCUCAGCAGGUUGAAUGACUGUGCAAGCUCCGGCUGCAAUCGGAAUGCGGCUAUGUCAAAGCACAGCUCGGAGUGGAAUGGACGAGCUCUACAAUCCAAAUUUCCCUCAAUUGGGGGCUGAGUUAGCAUUGGCCUCUUGAUUACUUCUUCCGGAGCUAUUUCAGCUGGAAUUUGGGGCUUUGGAAUUGGUGGCUGAGGCUCCUGUGGUUCUGCUUGCGGCACCGGAGAUGGCACCGGAGGCUGAAUUGGCGAGGGAAUCGGCGAGGGAACUGGAGUUGGAACCGACGAGGGCUCUAGAGAUUGCUCAGUCAAGUCAAUGGGUUCUGAGCUUUCAACCCUGGGUCUCUUUUGUAGUGGCCGACCCCCUGACCUGGUAAGGUAACGCCUCGCCGGCGGCGCGGGCUUCACUGGAGGAGGAACUGCUCUUGGCUGCGAAGGCUUAGAAACGGGAUCUGGAACUGGCUCCUUUCGCAAGCUUUGCUUGCGACUUGAAGGAGAGGAAGACUUGGCCCCUCUGGUUCGCGCCAUUUCGGGUUACCGAAAUUUGGCCGGAGUUGCGGAUCGGAGAAAAUGACCGGAGACUUGCGCGGUGAGGCUCGAGGAAGAAGAUGAACAGCCUGCGAGAAUGGCGCGCUCUGAUUUUGAAACCCUUUUCACAGCUCAAAUGACCGGUAUAAAUAGGAAUAACGGAAGACUAAGGGUCAGUUUGAGUUUCGCAGAAUAAUGCCAAUUUCGCAGCAAAACGCCAUUUUCGCAGCCACUUCGCAAUGCAUUUCGCAGCUGCGAAAUUAAUGUCACUAUGCUGCGAAGUGGCACACGUGUGCCAAAAUCGCUUUCGCAAUUGCGAAAUACCCUGCGGAAUGAGACUUUUGUUGCGAAAUUUGGGCUUUACCGCUUCGCAGCCGUUUCGUAGCUGCGAAAUGGGGGUUCCUGUGCUGCGAAGUGGCACUCGUGUGCCAAACUCGCCUUCGCAGCUGCGAAAAUUCUCGCAGAGAAUCCCAAAGUGUUGCGGAAUGAUUUGACAACAAAAUGCUCAUUUCGCAGAAGUUUUCUUUAGGCUGCGAAAUCUCGUAGAGCUCUGUUUUCACUCUGCUUUUGCUCCGAUUUUGAUCCGAUUUUUUUCCUUUCAAUUUCCUUGAAAUUUCUUCCACCUGGGAUCAUUCAAAAAGAUUAAAACACACCUAAAAACAUGAUUUAAGAUAAAAAACUAAGAUCAAAUGUAUGGAAAAACUUGAAAAUUUACAAAAUCUACAAAAAAUUUUGGACUGUGGUAAAACCACGUCCAGUAAACCCUUCUUUGCUUAGGCUUUUUGAGGCUCAAGGAGGUUGAUUUCCUCAUUUUCUGGUUUGAAUGGCUCCAUGAAUGGCUUAAGACGAUAUCCAUUGACUCUAAAGCUAUCCUUGCCAUUUGAAUUCAAUAAUUCCACCACUCCAUUGGAAUAUACUCGGUGAAUAAUGAACGAACCUAUCCACCUUGACUUGAGCUUCCCAAGAAAGAUAUGGAGUCUUGUGUCAUACAAUAAAACUCUUUGUCCUUCCUGAAAUUCCUUGUUGGAGAUGAGUUGAUCAUGCCACUUCUUCAUCCUCUGUUUUGCAACUUUGGAAUUGAUAUAAUCAUUAUUUCUUAAUUCCUCCAUCUCAUUAAGGUCUAGAUAUCUCUUUUCUCCGGCUCUGAUCAAGUCCAUGUUCAGCUUCUUUAUUGCCCACCAAGCUUUGUAUUCAACUUCCACAAGGAGAUGACAUGCUUUGCCAUAGACUAGACGAUAGGGAGACAUGCCAAGAAUAGUCUUAUAAGCUGUUCUAUAUGCCCACAAUGAAUCAUGAAGCUUAAUAGACCAAUCCUUUCUGCUGGAGUUCACUACUUUCAUCAAUAUAUUCUUUAUUUCCCUGUUAGCUAGCUCAACUUGCCCGAAAGUUUGAGGAUGAUAAGGUGUAGCCACCUUAUGCUUCACUCCAUACUUGGAUAACAGAGCUUCAAAAGGUUUGUUACAAAAAUGAGCACCUCCAUCACUGAUUAUGGCUUUGGGCACCCCAAAUCUUGAGAAAAUGUUCUCUUUAAGAAACUUGAGAACCACCCUGUGAUCAUUUUGUUUACAGGGGAUUGCCUCAACCCACUUAGAAACAUAAUCCACCCCCACCAAGAUGUAAGAAUUACCAAAAGACAUUGGGAAAGGUCCCAUGAAGUCAAUGCCCCAUACAUCAAAUAACUCAACUAUUAGAAUGGGGUUCAUAGGCAUUUGAUUUCUUUUUGUUAACUUUCCAAGCCGUUGGCAUCUAUCACAACUCCUACACAUGAUGUGGGCAUCUUUGAAAAGAGAUAGCCAGGUAAACCCUGAUUGCAACACCUUCAUACCUGUUUUCUGAGAGGCAAAGUGGCCUUCACAUGCAUUCUCAUGACAAUGAGAUAGAAUCCCUUGCUGCUCAUCUUCAGGGACACACUUCCUUAUGAUCUGAUCUGCACAAUACUUAAAAAGAAAGGGCUCUUCCCAAUAAUAAGCAUGAAUUUUGGCAAAGAAGUGCUUCCUGUCCUGUGCAUUCCACUCACUUGGAAUUUCACCAGUUACUAAAUAAUUAACAAUAUGAGCAUACCAAGGAGUUUUCACUAGGAACAUGAGUGAUUCUUCAAGAAAAUCAUCAUUAAUAGACAAGGGAUGGGAAUUAUGUGCUAUAACUAACCUCGAAAGGUGGUCAGCUACCACAUUCUCCACUCCUUUCUUAUCUUUGAUUUGGAGAUCGAAUUCUUGUAACAAAAGAAUCCAUCUAAUCAACCUUGCUUUUGCAUCUUGCUUUGUCAAUAAAUACUUCAAGGCUGAAUGGUCAGUGAAGACAAUGAUGAAAGACCCCACUAAAUAAGCACGAAAUUUGUCCAAAGCAAAUACCACAACUAACAAUUCUUUCUCUGUAGUUGUGUAGUUCCUUUGAGCUUCAUUCAGUGUUUUACUUGCAUAGUAAAUCACAUAGGGCUUCCCAUCUUCCCUUUGGCCAAGCACAGCUCCUAUAGCAAAGUCACUGGCAUCACACAUCAGUUCAAAAGGUAAUUUACCAGUUAGGGGCUCUCACUAUUGGAGUUGUUGUUAAAAAUUUCUUCAGUUGAUCAAAGCUUUUUUGACAUCUUUCAUCCCAUAUAAACUUAGCAUCCUUAGCUAACAGCUCAGAAAGAGGUUUUGAAAGACUUGAAAAACCUUUUAUAACUCCUAUAGAACCCUGCAUGGUCAAGGAACUGCCUUACUCCUUUUACAGUUGUUGGGGAUGGUAAUUUGACAAUAAGCUCCACCUUUGCUUUAUCAACUUCAAUGCCUUUUUCAGAGAUGAUAUGGCCAAGGACAAUUCCUUGACGUACCAUAAAAUGGCAUUUCUCCCAGUUGAGCACCAGGUCUUUUUCAAUGCAUCUGUGAAGAACUGCUUCCAAAUUAACUAAACAUUCCUCAAAUGUACCUCCAUAUACGGUGAUGUCAUCCAUGAAAACCUCCAUAAUUCGCUCCACCAUAUCACUGAAAAUACUCAACAUACAUCUUUGACAUGUAGCAGGUGCAUUGCAUAAACCAAAAGGCAUUCUCCUAUAAGCAUAUGUUCCAAAUGGACAUGUAAAAGUGGUCUUUUCCUGAUUUGCCACAUCAAUUUCAAUCUGAAAAUACCCUGAAUACCCAUCCAAGAAGCAAUAGAACGGAUGUCCAGAGACUCUCUCCAGCACUUGGUCAAUAAAUGGCAAUGGAAAAUGAUCUUUCCUGGUUACAGCAUUCAACUUUCUAUAAUCAAUACACACCCUCCAACCUGAAGUGAGACGUGUAGUAAUUUCUUCUCCUUUUUCAUUCUGAACCACUGUGAUCCCUGACUUCUUUGGUACCACUUGAGUAGGACUCACCCAAGGGCUAUCAGAUAUAGGGUAAAUGAUUCCUGCUUGAAGUAGCUUCAGCACCUCAGCUCGCACCACCUCUUGUAGAUGAGGAUUCAAUCUUCUUUGAAGUUGACGAAUUGGCUUUGCUUCCUCCUCCAUAUAUAUAUGAUGAGUACAAACUAAAGGACUAAUGCCUUUCAAGUCGGAUAUUUGCCGUCCUAUUGCCUUCUUACACCUCUUGAGAACUUCCAUUAAACAAUUCUCUUGAUGAUUGGUCAGAGAUGAAGAUAUCACAACAGGACAUUGAUCAUUUUCUUCAAGAUAUGUAUAUUUCAGCUCCACAGGUAAAGGCUUCAGAUUGAGUUUUGGAGUUUCUUUUUCAGCAGCUGCCUCUUCUUCUUUAUUGAACAAAGGUAGAAUUUCUUCUAUCUUUCUCCAACUUUGUAGAGUAGCAAGCACAGUAGGAGAUUUAGACAAACCUUCCUCAAAAUCCACAAGACCUUCAUUCAACUUGUCUUGCAUAUUUUGAUUACAGUGCUCCUCCACCAAAGUAUCAAUAAUGCACAACUCUUCUGGACUUUCUUCUUCUUCCGGAGUGAUUUGCUUUUUAGACAUAUAGAAAAUAUUGAGAUCCAGUGCCAUGUUGCCAAAAGUGAGUUGCAUCAGCCCAUUCCUGCAAUUGAUGAUUGCAUUUGAGGUAGCAAGAAAUGGCCUUCCAAGGAUGAUAGGAACUAAAUUAGCUUCCUUUACAGUAGGAUCUGUAUCAAGAGCAAUAAAAUCUACUGGAUAGUAGAAAUUAUCCACUUGAACCAAGACAUCCUCAAUUACCCCCCUUGGAAUUUUUACUGAUCUAUCUGCUAGAGAUAGAGUGAUUGCUGUUGGCUUCAAUUCCCCAAGUCCCAAUUGCUUGUAGACGGAAUAUGGAAGCAAAUUCACACUUGCCCCCAAAUCUAACAAGGCUUUUUCCACUAUCUUUCCUCCAAUCAUGACUGAAAUGGUAGGACUUCUCGGGUCUUUGUACUUCAAAGGAGACUUACAUUGUAAGAUUGCACUUACUUGCUCAGUCAAGAAGGCUUUCUUGUUUACAGUCAACCCUCUUUUGAUAGUACAUAAGUCCUUAAGGAAUUUUGCAUACGUUGGAACUUGUUUAAUCAUAUCCAGUAGUGGAAUAUUGACUUUCACUUGUCUCAAUACUUCAAGGAUUUCAGCUGCAUUUCUAAUCUCCUUUUUCCCAUGUAAUGCUUGAGGAAAAGGUGGAGAGGUUGAUUUCUUCAGCAUUUCUUCCUUCAUAAGUUCCUUCUCUGGAAUUGCAUUCAUUGUUAAAUCAGAGUCCUUCUUUUCUUCACUAAUCUCACUCUCUUUAUAUUCCAUUUCCUUCCCUUUCUUUAUCUCUUCUUCAUUCUCAACAUGUGGCUCGGAUGUUGGCUUCUCAAUUUUUUUUACCACUCCUUAGAGUGAUCAAGGCUUUGACAUCUUUCGUCUGCGAUGAUUCUCCCUCUUGGCUUUCCACUUCAUGAACACCUUUGGGAUUUUGGUGAGGUUGAGAAGGAAAUCUUCCCUUUUCUUGUAGUGUGUUCAAAUUUAUAAGCCUUGAAAUUGAAUAUUGGAUGUUAUCAAACUUUUGGUUCAUAUCAUUUUGCAUUCCAUCCAUCCUUUUAUUCAAAGUACUCUCCACUCUGUCAAUUCUUUGAUUGAUUUGAGCAUUGGUGGCUUCUUGGUUUCCAACAAAAUCUCCCACUACCUUGCUGAGAUUAGCCAUUGCUUGUUCAAGACUUGAAGAUUGUUGAGAUGGUGGAUCCGGCUGUUGGUAUUGAGUUGCUCUGGCCUUCCAUGAGAAAUUUGGAUGAUUCCUCCAACUUGAGUUGUAGGUAUUUCCAUAAGGCGCAUUGUUAUUGGACCUGAAUUGUCCAACAACAGUUGCUUGAUCUCUAAACAUUUCCCUUUCAGAAGAAAUUGUAGGGCAUUCUUCCACCAAAUGUUCAUAUGAUUGACAAUUAGGACACAGCUUCACUUGCACUGGUGCUUCAGCAACAGCUUGCACUUCAUGUAUUCUUUUCAGCUCCAGCUCCUCCAAUCUUCUUGUCAUAGCUGCCAACUUUGCUUUCAUAUCAUCAUUUUCUUUCAAGGUAUACAUCCCAGCCUUUACAUUGAAAGCAUUCAUUUGAGACUUCAUCUUACCCACUUCUCCUUUGGUUGGUUCAUCCCAUCCCCUUGAAACAUCAGCUACAUAGCUCAAGAAAUCCAUAGCUUCCUCUGGAUUUUUGCUCAUGAAAUCUCCUCCACACAUUGUCUCGAGGAGUUGCUUCAUUGAGGAGGACAUACCAUCAUAAAAAUAGCUCACCAAUAGCCAAGUAUCAAAGCCAUGGUGAGGGCAAGCAUUUAUAACUUCCAUAUAUCUUUCCCAACACUCAUAGAAUUUCUCAUUCUCUUUAGCUGAGAAGUUUGAAAUUUGCCUUUUCAAGCCAUUUGUUCUAUGAGUGGGAAAAAAUUGCUUGAGGAAUUCAGCUUGUAAGUCAGUCCAAGAACGAAUACUCCUUGGCCUUAAAGAAUUAAGCCAAAUUUUGGCCUUAUCCUUUAAAGUAAAAGGAAAUAAUUUAAGCCUCAUCAAAUCAAUUGAAGCUCCUCCCUCUUGGAAUGUAUUACAAACAUCUUCAAAUUCCUUGAUGUGUGCAUACGGAUUCUCACUUUCCAUCCCAUGGAAAGUUGGUAGAAGUGGAACAAGAUACGGUCUGAUCACUAGCUGCUUUGUAGGGGGCACUAUACAUGAUGGUGCACUCAUACGAGGUGGAUGCAUGUGGUCCCUCAUUGAUCUGAAUUCAUUAAGGUUGUCUUGACGACCUUGGUGGCUAUGCUGAUCUUCAGGUGUAGUUUCCAUGAUAUUCAAGCUUAAUUCGAAUUCUUUUCUCUGAGGUGUAUCACACUUAACAAGCCUUCCUUCACUGUUUCGUAUCCACUUUGGCAUACACAACUAGUAUCUAUCUGCAACUUAAAUGAAAAUAAAGGACAACAACAGAAACAGGGCUACAACAAAUAAAUUAAACUAGGCUAAAUUCUAAAAGAUAAACUUGGAUUAUGAAUAAAUAAAGAAAGAAUGAGAAUUAGUAAAGUGAAAGAAACGUUACCAACUUGUGAUGAAAAUCACAAGUGCUCAAAAAUGGUAUCACUAUAAACUUGACACCUUCCCCGGCAACGGCGCCAUUUGAUUCAUGCCUAAUUGGUGUGCCAGCUGAUUCGUGUCCAGCUGGUGCUCCUUGUUUGAGGGAGUAAUCAACAAAAUUUAUAACCUAUAACAUCAUAUACUAGGGUAGCAAAGAAAAAGUUACUAUAGUAUAGUGGCUCUAGGAUCGUUCACUGGGAAGGAUUAACAAGCUAUCAAUGAUACCAAUUCCAAGUGAAUUGGUCUUGUUUCAUUUCAAGGUUAGCUUAAGAAAUAAAACACAAACUUUGAUUGGUAAAGAUUUAAACUAACUAACAUAACAAGUACUCGUAAUAACUUAGGAAGAAAAUCAUUCCUUGGAGAGUUAGGUUCACUAGGGUGGUUCCUCAUGCAAAAGACAUAGCUCCGGUCAGAUGGUUCCUUUCCUCGCGUUAGAGAUUCAACAUAUAGUCAAUUCUCUGACCGGUGUUGUACAAAUACCUCCUUCAAUUAGAUUUCACUUUAAUUCUCUCACUGAUGCAACUUGCAAUGGUUUAAGCCUCUCACUAAGCCGUAACCAUUCAAGGUGAUCUUUAACCUUGGAUUACCCGUCAAAAGCUCGCAAGAGAUAACUAAUGGAUGUCUCCUUGGAGUCCAAAAGCUUACCAAGUGUUGGCUAUUCUAGAAAAUCCUACCCUAAAGUCACCUCCCAGAGGCUCGCAAGGGGUAAACUAGUGCAUUUCCAUGGUUGGAAAUCACUUGCCUUACCAAGUGUUGGCCCAGGUGACUCUAAGGUGUUUUAAGUUAACUAAAAACAUAGAAAUCACUAAAGGAUUUCACUUCCUCUUCAUUAAUAGCUAAAACCACAAAGCUUUGCAUUCUUGCACUUGGAACCUUCCCCGGCAACCUUAGCUCCAAGGAAUUAGAGGUUUAGUUACUCAUUCUCUGGGGAAAACUCCUCAGAGAGUUCAUAACUUAGUAAGAAAAUAAAAAUACAAAGUGAGAAGGUAAGGCAAUACAAAGAACUGAACUUUACUUGCUUACCCAAAACUUUACAAAAGGAUAUCCUCUUUGAGAACAGGCUCCCGAGAGGUAUAUAUAUGAACAUAAUAUAAAACUAAUUAUUACAUAGAUAUUUACUCUUUUUUACUAACUUAAAAGCUAAGGAAUCUUGUAAUUGGUGGCUUACAAGGAGUAUUUUGGGAUUUAGACAACAAAAAUCUGAUGUAAAAUAUCUCCCAAUGUCGGUAGCAAAUAUCGGGAUGCUCCAGGAACCAUUUCGCAAGAGAAAAUGGUGUCUGCGAGAUUUCGCAAGCACUCAAGAAGGGCUGCGAAAUCAUUUUGCAACAACAUGCUAUCUUCGCAGGGUUGCGAAGUUGGCUUCCACCUUGAGGUUCUCAGCUCCCAGCUUGCGGCAUAUAUUGGGCAACUUCAGAAGGAAAUACACCCUACUGUACAAAAAGGCUGCGAAAUCACUUCGCAACAAAAGGGUGAUUUCGCAGCACUUUGCAAAAUGCUUCCUUCAGCUUGGAGUGAUUGGCUUCCACUGGCUGCAACUUCUUCGUUUCAACUCUGAAUUGCACUCCGUUUGAAGCAUUGGAUUGUUGACUUCUUGAGCUUUGAAAUGGUAUAUAGAAUGCAUCAAUUGGACUCCAGAAAGUGCUCCAAAAAUGGCUGCUACGACUGUCAUCAAGAAUAUGCUUCAUGGUAGAUUCUCUUUACUUUUUCUCCUUGCAUUCCGGAUUUAUUCUUGGAAAAUGACUUCCAAGCUUUACCCAAGGUUCCUCAAAACUCUCCUCAAAUUUGAAUUGCUUUGGUGAUCAAAUUACUAACAAAAACACCAAAACUUACACAAAGUGAUUAAAAUUGCUUUCAAGGGUCCUUAACAUGCCAAUUGAGUUAAAAUGCCAAAACUACUACUCAAAAGUGUUUAAAAGGAUUAAUUAUAAGCUAUCAAAUAGCACUUUUUGAGUAGUAAUCAGUAAGUGCACUAGUGUGUAUAGUUAUUGAGAAAACCCCAAAGCCCAGUAGGGUAAUACCCAGAGGAGGGUGAAUGAGUGAAUAUAAAAAUUUAAAUAAAGAUUUACAUGUAUUACCAAAUUUUUCCCUAUGAGUAGUUAAAGAUUAUCAAUUCAAUUAAAGAUAUGCAAUAUGAACAAGCUAAUAAAAAAUAUAUAUAAGCAAUGAGGCAAAAGAAUUUUUAUGUGGGAAACCCCCACACUAAUUGUGGAGAUAAAAAAACCAUGAGGUUUAAGACUAUUAAUCUAAAUCCAUUAUAUGAGAUCAAGUUACAUAGAUUUAUCUACCUGCUUUACCUUAAAGACUUACUCUCCAAUACCUACAACUUGAUCCACGUUUGUGACGCAACAACCUCUGAUUGCUCCAAUAAAUACAUUUCAGCUUCAUUGAAGGGAUGGAGGUUUUCAACUUAAGAUUCAAAGAUUGAAUCCUUAAAUGAAAGAUCGGGAAUUUGUGGCUUUUAGGUUUUCUUUCCAAAGAAACCCUCUCUAAAGAAAAUAAGAUCUCUUCUGAAAUCUCUCAAAUCACUUAUCCUCUAGGGGUUAUAAUGACGUAUUUAUAGGUAAACACCCAAAGAGUUUCAGUUUUGGAAGAUUUUUAAACCAAAUUUGCGUGAAAAAAUCUCGACAUGAUCAACAUGAUCGUCAAGCCAAUUGAAGAACAACUUUGACGCCUCGGGCGCUUGAGCUGUGUGGAACACUUGAGCAGUCUUCAGUGCUUGAGCACUUUAGAUCACUUAAGCAAUCCUACCUUUUUUCAAAAUAAUAAUUUAAAGCGUUUUAAAUUAAAAAACAAAGUUAAUUCUCUUAUGCCUUAUAAAAGUCUAACUUGCCUUAAGCCAAACCUUUUUAGAUGUACCUAUGACUUCCUAAUAUGAUGAAUAACAACCUUUGAUCUUCACUGGAGAGCAAGUUACUAUCUAAAAGAACUUCUAUGGCAAAACGUUAAAAGGAACAAAAUUGUCAACAUAAAAACAAAACUCAAUGUUCUAACAAUCUCUCUCUUUGGCAGGUUUGUAACAAAAUAUUAUUACAUAAACCCACUCAAACUCUCUUAACGGAGUUUAUAUAACACACAUUAUCGAUCAAUUAAAAUUAAACUAAGGGAAUGAUUUGCAUCAUCUUAUAGUACUUAUCUUCCAACCCUAUAACCAACACAUAUAGAAAACUAUACCAAAGGUAAAGCAAUGUGUGGGAUAAGAUAUAAUCAAAACAACAUAAUAGGAUAGUUAGAGAUUUUGCUUAAUGCAUUGUGAAAGCAUAAAAAAGGAACAAAUCCCUGUAGCGACACCAAUGUAUAAAGCUAAGCUCAAGAGAAGUAUGUAUGUAUGCAAAUCAACUAAAUAUAAUAGAAACAUAAUAAGACACAAUAGCUCAACAAUAAAGUUUAGAGGUUUAUCUCCAACCAAAAAAUAGGGAGUGAAGAUUAUGAGAAGAAGCUUCUAUGACUCAUAAUAGUUCUAGAGAGAUAGACGAUUCAAAUAGAAAUAUUUUGCAAGAAGCAUCUAUGUCAAGUAUAUUUUUAAAACUUCUAAGGUAUGCUUUUAUUAGUUAAUUUGGUUUCCUUCAAUGUCUCAGGUUUAAUUUCAUUCAAUAUUUCAAUUAAUUUUCCUUAAAAUUUAAAUGAAUAAAAAAAUGAAUUGAAUUAAAUGAUUAAAAAAUUACUAACUUCCUUUAAAGAAUAUCUUUCCUUUUGUCAAAGAAUUAAUUUCUUAAUUACCUUUUAUCAAUUAGCUCUCAAAAGUAAUAUACUCCCCAUAUUUAAGUGAGUGAAAUAUGGUUAAUGAUCUCCCAUUUUUGGUCACAAAAUGGUAAAGCAUAUGACAUAUGAACAAGAAAGCACACACGAGAAAGAUAAAGAGACAUCAUAUAUAUAACAAAAAAAAUAUGAUUCUUGAUACAAAAGAUAUGCAAUAAACUAACAAAAUCCAUAUCAAAAUAAAUACAUUAAAAAAAACAUAAAAAUCUAAACAUCCAAAGGUGGUAGAGGAUGGAUAGAGCUCAAGGGGCCCUAACAGUGAAUCCAUGAUAUAAUAUAGUCAAGCUAACCUUGGAUCUAAUGGAGUUGAGUUUCUUGUGAGUCGAUCCUUGGAUGAAGUCGGGCCAUGGAAUCCAAAGUCUCUUAGGAAUUUCGGUCAAUGGAAGAAGAUUGAUCAUGGGUAGCUCGCGAAGAACUCGCAUGACCACAAUUGGAAAGAGUGUGAGGAGCAAGCUCAAGAAAAUUUGCCUCUAGAACUGCAUCCUGCUCCACAACUCGAAGCUCAUCCUCAUUUGAUAAUGCCUCUUAUACUACAUCUAGAUUCACAUCCUGAGGGCCAUGUGAGCUGGGGAUGUCAUGGGUCCAUAGACGUGACUAUAAUGCUUGGCCUAAAAGCUCCUAUCUAAGUAGACAUAAGAGGAUUGGAACCCCAAGGUUGGGUCAAUCUCAAAACCUACGUUCUCCAAGACACAGAAGAUGAGGAGAGGAAAAAGAAGGUCAUUUCUUUGGUAGAAAGGAUCAUGAUAUGGAGUAAUCGCGUCCAAGAUCACCUGACUAAUAUCAAACUAAUGGUAAAAAAGAAUGAUGUAACUAAGCAAGCGAUUGAUAGAUUUGGGUCAAAUAGGUCGAAGAGUAGAAAGAGUAGGUGAAAAACAUAGCAAGAAACUAUGUUGGCUUGGAGAAGCCAACGAUAAAGAUGUAAGAAGGAAAAAUGUGAGGAACACCAUAAAGAAAGGUUUGAAUGGAAUCAAGCUUCCCUCUUAUGAGAGUUUGAACCUUCGAAGAGAAAAAUGGAAGGUGAGACUUAAGUCACAACAUGCCAAGUACACAUUGAAUGGAACGAGAAGAAACAAGAAAAGAUUGGUUGUGUAUAGUCACUCAAAAAGUGACUUUGGUAUCUAUCGAGCGCAUGUUCGCGUAGAACAUCUGCACUAGAUGGGGAUAGUAAGUCCCUAGGAGUGAAAAGAGAGUCCUCCACUCUUGCUCUUAGAUUAUGAUGGGAAGAGGAGUAUCCUAGAAAGCUUUAAGAUUGACCAGAUGCUUGAUCUUAAUGUGACAAGUGUGGAAGGCAUAGAAGCGAUUGUGCCUUUUAGGAGUGGAAACACUGCACUAAAGAAGCUAUUAGGUUGAAAUGACCCAAUAGUAAGAUGCCAUAGAUGGGUUCAUGUGACCUUGGAGGAGUUACCUCACAUGGAUGACGAUGACUCACCAUAACAAGGUAAUGAAAUAUGAAAGGACACAAAAAAUGAGAAUAACUUUUAAAAAAAAUUCAAAAUAAAACUAAAUCCCUAGGAAUGUUAAAAACGAGGUACAAAACAUUACUAUGUGAACAAAAACUCAAGAAACUGAGCAAAUUGACCUCAAACGACAAAGAAAUUGAGACUUAGAGUGCUCAAAACAACUUGAUGUAGUUUAUCCGACGAGCAACCCAAGUGUUGGAAAUGGCAUUGGACAUGACUUAGAGCAUUUGAGUAGUCUAAUCACUUGAAGCAAUGCUAGAUAUAAUUUACAACACUUAAGCAUUUGUAACACUAGAAAGAGCGCUUGAGUAUGGGCAACAAAACUUGAGCGCUUGAAGCCUCAUAUAAUUACAAUGAAAAGAAUAAAAUUUAUUAAGGGAAUAAGGAAACUAAACAAGCUUAAUUAGAAACCAAUUGCUAUAACUAAGUUUAGAGAUGAAAUACAGAAACAAACAACUUGGGUAGAUCAUCAUGUUCAAGAACUUUCAAAGAUUAGUUUAAUUAGUAAUAAAUCAAGUGAGUUUCUCAGAUAUUAUACAUCAAUCCAUUAAGAAUGAGGUUUCAAGUUCAUAUGUCAGAGUUAAUGAUAAUUUUAGUUUUAAAACUCAAUGCAUAACCAUCAAUGUAUAAGAGGACCAACAUAAAUGUUGGGAUCGAGCCCAUAAAAGCAAGACAUGAUGUAAUAAAGUUAAACUUAAUUAUCCCCUUGCUAUCCAUUUGGUGUAUUGACAUUGAUUUGAUCAUUCAAUACAUGUCUCUUACAUUGUACAUGACUCAGAUACAUUAAGAGUUGCACAGAAGAUACAAGUCAUGGGUUCCUUGUAAGUAGAUAAGUUGCCCACAGUUAGUUCAUGGAUUUGGGCAUUCUAGUAGAGACUGUAUUGCAUCACCUCCUAAAUGGAGGAAUGACUUGUCUUAACCAUUGGGAUAGGUUUCCCAUAGUGAGUGUACUAGUGUAUAUGAUGCAUACUAGACAGGACUUAUAGUGAAUCAUGACGCAAGGCUAUCAAUUGUCAUGAUUCACCAAGCUACUAUACUACAUGGAGUCUCAAUUUUGAGAGGAUAUUGAGUAUGUGCCAAAAUAAACAGGAGGCUUUGACCUAUGGGUAAGACCCUAAAGUGGUCAUAUAUCCUUAUGGAUUGGGUCACUAUUGAUGAAGACUGGUGGCAAAAGGUAUUCUCAAUAAAGGCAUCAUGAUAUCUCAUGGAAUUGAGACAAUGUGUCUCAUUGGGUGAUCCAAAGGACAUGUAAUCAUUAAAUAUGUGGCCACAGUAAUUCUUUUAGCGGAAUUUGACAUAUGCUCCUUGGAGCUAGAAUAUGUCAUUUGAUCACAUAAUAAGUGAGAUCUGUAACUCAAGGAUUUGAGAGGUAAUCUUGAUAGGUGAUGGCACUACCUUGUUAGAUUAUGAACACCAGUUCAUAGGGAGUUUGUAUGCAGUGGAUAGUAGGUCAUGGACUUGAGCACUUGGUGUCUCGUUAUAAUAUACAUAGGAUAUUGGAGUACAGUUUACUCUCUGUAAUGGGAUGUUGAGUUAAUUUCAGAAUUUGAUUCUAAGGUAGCCAAUACUCCUAUGGGUCCCAAUGGUCCAUGUUUUGAGCUCAUAUUCCUUGUUAGCACGACUUAUGAGGUUUGGAUGAGUUUUUAAUUUAUUUUUGUGCAUAAGGGUAUUUUGGUAAUUAUGCAAAGUUGCACAGGGAUAAGUGAGUGGUAUCUCCAGAUUGGGCUAAUUGAUUAAUUAGGCCUUGUAUGGUUAAUAAAUCAAUUAGCAAUCUUUUUGGGCUAGAUUAAGUGACCCAAGCCUAUGGUGGGCUUAAGUCACUUAGGCCUAAUAGGAAACCUAUAAAUACCCCUUUAGGGGUUAGGGUUUUCAAGUCUUGUCAUUCACCCAUUUAGUCUAAAGAAAAAACUUUAGCCUCCAUCAUUGAGAUCUCCACCAUCUCAGGGCCUAAACAUAAGGAAGAGUCAUUGGGUGGAAGAUCACGGUGUUUACAAGAUCCAUUACGACUUUGGAGUUAUCUACUAUGAUUGGAAUUGAUCUGGGAACAUCUGGAUCAAAGGUAUGUGACUUUAAUUUCUAGAUCUAUGUUUUCUAUGGUAUUUUUUUUAAUACCUGUUUAUCUGCUACGAUAGAUUUAGAGAGCCUAUGAUAGAUUUGCAUGCACCCUACAUAAUCUAGGGCAUGAGAACAGAGUAAUCCAGGGUUCUCAACAAUAGAAACAUAAGUAUUGAUGUUCAUGUUAGAAACCCUAUCCUUGGAUCUCAUAGGGUGCAUGCAACUAUCCUUAGGGCUUUCUAGAUCUAACGCAACAUAAACAUAUGACCAUAAAAACUAUAUUAGGAUAAAGAUCUAGAGAAAAAAAAAUACUUAUGAUCUGGACAUUCCCAAAUCAAAUUUGUGUUUAUUUACUUGAUAUAUUAACAUGAUUUAUAAUAUCUCAAGUUUGAGAACUGGAUAAAUAUACUAUGUCCAAAAGAUUUGAUGUAGAUUGAUUCUUAGAUAUUUGUUAAUCAUUAUUCACAUACUUGAUUCUUGAUAAUUAAAUGCUUUGUAUGGUGAAUUUCAACCUUAGUUGCAUCUUGUGCUUGAUCAAGAGGGAGACUUCUUAAGUUUAAUUCAUAAAGUAGACUUUGUUUACUUUGGAAUGAUCCUUUGUUAUGCUCAAAUCUUAUUAUCCACAUGUCUUAUUUGAUUAAGAUCAUUAUAAUUGUUUCUUAAAGUGAGUCAGUGCAAAUUCUUGAAUCAUUGGUUAAGCAUAACUCUCAUACACUUUCCAAGAUAUUUGCUCUUAAAUGUAAGCUACUCACUUGCAACAUUUGGAAACACCCCUAAAAUGGAUACAAAGGCAACCAUGAAUGAAAUAAAAUGAAAAAUCAAUAAUGAUCAUGUUGUAUAAUGCCUCCAGUUAAAAAAAAAAAAAAUGAUAUCAAAUUAAGGGAAAGUCAGGUUGUGUUGUAUGUAGAUCAAUGAGGUUGUGUUAAAUAUAAAUCUAGAGAUCUUAGAUCGAAUUGACUGGAUGUGUACUUUAAUUUGAAUAAAGGUAUGACUAGAUCUCUUCUAAGUGAUCAAUUUCGAAAUAUAGAAUUAGACAGUAAGUCGUAUUCCCUUGAACUGUUGGAAUUGAGCCCUUGAAAGCAAGACAUGACGUAACAAAGUUAAACUUAACUAUCUCUUUGCUAUCCUUUUGGUGUAUUGACAUUGAUUUGAGAAUUCAACUCAUGUCUCUUAUAUUAUACAUACACGACUUGGGUACAUUAGGAGUUGCACAGAAGAUACAAGUCAUGGCUUCCUUGUAAAUAGGUAAGUUGUCCACAAUUGGUUCAUAGAUUUGGGCAAUCUAGUAGAGACUAUAGUGUACCACCACCUCCUAAUUGGAUGGAUGACUUAUCUUGGUCGUAGGGAUAAGUUUCCCAUGGUGAGUGCAUUAGUGUAUGUGAUGCACAUUAGACAAAACCUACGUUUAAUCAUGAUGCAAGGCUAUCAAUUGUCAUGAUUCACCAAAGUAUUAUACUUCAUGGACUCUCAACCUUGAGAGGAUAUUGAGUCUGUGCCAAAAUCAACAGGAGGCUUUGACCUAUGAGUGGGACCCUAAAGUAGUCAUAUAUCUUUAUAGAUUGGGUCACUAUUGAUGGAGGCUGGUGGCAAUGAGUAUUUUCAGUAGAGACAGCAUGAUCUCAUGGGAUUGAGACAGUGAGUCCUCUUAAGUGAUCCAAAGAAUAUAUGAUCAUGAAAUCUGUGGCCAUAAUAAUUCCUUUAGUGGAAUUUGACAUAUACUCUUUGGAGCUAGAGUAUGUCAAUUAAUCACAUAAUAAUUGGGAUAUGUAACUCAAGGAUUGGAGAGGUAAUCUUGAUAGGUGAUAAUACUACAUUGUUAAAUUAUGAACACUAAUUUAUGGAGAGUUUGCAUGUAAUGGAUAAUAGGUCACGACCUAAACUUUGUCUCGUUGUUAUUUACAUAGAGUAUUGGAAUGCAGUUGAUUCUCUUCAUUGAAAUGUUGAAUCAACUUCAAAAUAGGAUUCUGAUGGAGCCAGUACUCCUAUGGGUCCUAAUGGUCCUUACUCUGCACUCAUAUACCAUGAUGGCAUGGUUUAUGAAGGUUGGAUUGGCUCUAGGUUCAUUCUUGUGCAUAAUGGCAUUUUGGUAAUUAUGUAAGGAUGCAUAGUGGAUAAUGAACAAGGUCUUUGAUUUAGAUUAAUUGAUUAGUUAGAUAGCCCUAUGUGGUUAAUUAAUCAAUUAAGACCCGUUUUUGGCUAAAUUAAGUGACCCAAGCCUUGAUGUGCUUAAGUUACUUAAGCCCAAUGGGUAAUCCUAUAAAUGCACUUUUAUGGGUUAGGGUUUCUUAAUGACUUUCACUUAGUCAUCUUCCAUCUCCAAAGAGAGAGAAAAAAAAGAGCUAAAGUUUCCUCUUUUCCAUUACCCACACUUUGGAGUGCUAAGAUCGUGCUUUGAGUCAUUGGGCGGGAGAUCUUGGGUGUAUGAGACCUCCAGAUUUUAUAGGCAUGUUUGUAAUAUGCCUAAAGUAAACAAGAAGAAGGUCAAAAGAAAAGAUGAAACCCUUAACCAAGUAGCAUAUCUUGGUUAUAGGAAAAAUAACAAAAUGAUUAAAGUGCACAAGGAGUAUAUUUACAUUAAGCCAAACAUUCCUUAACUAUAGAAUAUGGUCAAUGUAGUAAGUGCAGGAAAAAAAAUUUAUUUCUCCCACUUUGAGAAUUUAUUUUCAACAAAACAAGGUCCAAAAAUUAAUUUUAAGAAGUAUAGAUUAAGGAAAAAAUACCAAAUAAAAUUUAAAAAUUUUAAAAAUAAUUUAAUUUUGAAAAAUGAGUUUAGGUGUCCAGAAUAGGGUUAAAAUUGGACCUAUGCAAAAAUCAAUUUAAAUAUCUCAAUUGAAAAAUGAUUUUAAGCUCAAAUUUAUUUAUUAUUAUUAUUAUUUGAAAAUUUUAGGAAGUUAGGAACAUCAUAAAAACAUCAAAAUAUUUUUUAUAAAAAAUUAAAGUGCCUUGAUUCCAAUUUUUCAUUUCAAAGGUUAGUGAGUUAAUCAAAGUGGUAGUAGGCUCUCAUUUGGAAAAACUGAAUGUAUGUUGGAAUCCACCAUGGUCUAGAUUAAUGUGCACAAAUUAAAUUCAUGUUUCCCAAUCCUUCAUAAUCAUGAUGAAGCUUAUGAGGACUAAGAGUUACUCUAUUAUUUGUUGCCAUGGAUUUGAUUCAUGUGAGUAAAAUUGAAAACAAAGAAGGUCAAUAAGAAAAGUGCAUGUCGAUUGAAACACGGUUGCAUGUCUUCAAAAAGAGAUUUUUUUUUUUUUAAAUUCUAGAGAUUUAAGACGAACUUAGUAGAAAAAAAAAAAAACAAAACAUAACAAAAAAAAAAAACAAAAAACAAAAACAAAAACAAAACAAAAAAAAAACUUUUUAUUUAUUUAUUUAUAGAAAAAGCCUUGAAAAUAUUUUUAAACAAUCUAUUCACAUAGUAUCUUUGGAUGAAAACAAGAUACCAUUACUAAGAGGGUUAGCCAAGUAGUUGAGGUCAUGCUAGUUCUUCUUGGGCUUCACUCGAUGUAUCUUCUUCGAUCAUUAGCCAAGUAGCAUAUCAAGAACGGUGUGGUAAAUUAGGCUUCCUCUCUAGGAGAUUCUUUUGAAAUCUCUCCAAUCUCUAACCCUUAGAGGAUUCUAAUGAGGUAUUUAUAGGAAAAUAACCUAAAGAGGUUCAGUAUGAAUAGGUUUCCAAAUCUAAUUUGCGUGAAAUUCUAAAAAAUAUCUCCAAUUCUUGGCAGGAAAUUCAUGAGCGCUCGAGUGCACUUAACCACCGCUUGAGCACCUCAGGCGCUUGAGUGGUCCCAAUGCUUGAAUGUUGCCACCCGCUCAAGCAUCCCUUAUUUCAUUGCACUUUAAUAGAAAAUCAAUUUUUGUUUAUUUAAAAGAUAUUGUUCCUCUUUAUACCUCAUAGGAGCCUAAUUUACCACAAAUCAAACAUUUUUAGAUGUACCUGUGACUUCCAAUUGGACGAACAACAACCCUUGAAGGACUUUUAUUACCAAAUAUUAAAAGGAACAAAAUUGCCAACAAAUAAACAAGACUCAAUAUCCUAACAACAUCCUUGGAUUUAUCUUUGUUUCUCACAUUUUGAUCCUUGUCUCUCAUCUCCCUAGAAUUCUAUCUCCAUUUUUUUUUUUUUUUUUGCCUUGACUUCUAUCUUUUAUCAUAUGUGAUAUCAUUCACAAUAUAUUUUCCCCAUAGGUAUCUUUUUCAUAUGCUCUAAACUCCUAAUUAGCUUAUUAGAAGACUAUUUGAAAACUUGAGUGAUGAGUAUACAUAUUAUUAGGAUUAUUUGGUAGUCUUUCUUGUUCUUCAAUAGAUCCCAUUUUGUUUCAUUUUUGUGCAUACACAAUCAUUUUCACUUAUGGGCUUGACCGAGGAGGGGCUUAUUUGUAAACCCUCAAAGUUGUCAUUGAUGUAGACCCAUUUGUUUAGAGCCUUCAAGCCCAAGUAAAAGACAAUUAGAGCCCCAUGUUGACUUGAUUUAAGGAUUAAUUGUAGGCUCAUUUACUUGAAAAGAUAAGAGAGGGGCGAUAUGAAUAUUGAGAGAGAAAAGCCAUAGGAGAUUAAUCUAAAACCCUCUUAUUGGUGGAGAAUUUUUUUUUUAAUCUUGAAAUUGAUUUGACCGAAGAAUGUAGGUUUGUAUAAAAAUUGAAUGUUGAAAACAAAAAAGAGGAAAAUUUGGGAAUUGAGAGAGGAAAAUUAGAGGAGAUUAAGAAGGAAAAAUGUGUUUGAUUAAUGAGAAAAGGGAAAGAAAUGUGAAUUUUGAGAAGUAAUUGGAGGUUUGACAAAAUAAAAUAAGGAAGUAAAAAAGAAAAAACAAGUGGGGGGAGAAUGGAAUUAGGAUUGAUUAGCUAUGAUUCUGGGUUAAAAAGAGAAGGUUUAAAAAUUUUAAAAAUUGAAAGAAAUACACAAGAGGUCAUUAGAAGAUUAGGAUGUGAUUGGUAAGAAAAAUGGAAGACAUUUAUUUAAAAAUUUAUUGUAAGUGAGAUUUUAGAUUAGAUUAGAUUCACUUUUAAUUAAAGAUUAAUAAAAUUCAUUUGGUAUUUUAUUAAUUCCACUUAAGUACUCACACACAAUUUUAUUUUUUCUAAAAUAUAAUUUUAUUUUUUAAUAAAAUUUGAUUCAAUGUCUAAAUUGUUGUGUUAUAUUUUAUAUAAAAAUCUUGAAUGAAGGAGUACACUAAGAUAACUUGGUUUGAAGAAAAUAUUUCAUGUAUUAAUUUUUUUCUUUAUUCCUUUUGUUUCAUUAUGGUCAUGUGUAGAUAACUUUUUAUUAUAAAUAGAUUUAUUUUUGUUCCCAAUAUCUAUUUUUUUAUUAAUUAUUUAUUUGCAAUAAAAUUUUACUUUUUCUAAAAAUUGUUUUCCAAAAAUGAAGUUUGCAUUGUUAUAUGUUUUCAGUUGUUAUUCACUACAUUCAAAUUUUGAAUUUUUAUUUAUUUGAUCCACUGCGCCUUAAUUGAAGUAACUUUAUCUUUUCUAAAUAUUUACAAGUAGAAAUAUAAAAUAUUGCAAGUAAUCUAAAGUAAAGUUUUUUUUUUCCUAAGAAAUUUUAGUUUGAUAUUUAAACAAAUGUGUAAUAUUGUAUGGGAAUUGUAUUUGGAUAAAAAUAAUUUGGUUGAGUAAAAUAAUGUCUAUAAUUGAAUUUCUACAUUAAUAAUUUUGUUGCAAUAAAGUUUGACUUUUUUUUUUUGUUUUUUAAAAUUUUGAUUGCUUCAAAAACAUUUUUAAAUUAAUAAUCCAAAAAAUUCAUUUUUUUUUUUGGUGAAACAAAGGAACAAAAAAUAAUCCAACAUUUUUAAUAUAGUCCAAAUUCAUUUUUAAUAAUCCAACAUUUUGCCUUUUUUUUUUUUUUUUUUGGUUUUUGGUGAAUUAUAGGAACAAAAAAUAAGGGAAGUGUCAAACUAAGUUUGAUUUCAUUCAUUCACCUCAAUUUCCUUCAACAUUGUACAUAAUCUUCUUUUAUUUGAGGUCCAUCAUAUUCAUGACUUGCAUAUAUUUUGUAUUACAUUUUUAUCAUUAUUUUAUAUGGCAUCGGAUUUGUUAAUUAAAUUAUCGAAUAUUAAGCUUCCUUAAAUGGAGUGUAUUAAUUUAAGGUUAGAAAGGUGUUUCAUACUUUUCUGAUAAAUAAUUUGACCCCUAAUCUUGAUUGUGGUUCACAGUCAGUCUUGUUUUUCUAUCAUUGGAGUUACUUUAGUAUUUUAGAUUUCUUAGUUUAUUUUUUUUCUAUCAAAAAAUAAAAUAAAACAAAUGACUAUUCUAAAAAUGAUCUUUCGAAGAUAGAAGACCUUUCUUUUUUGAUAAAAAGGUUUUGCCAUAGAGUGGAGGCACAUGUAAAAAAUGUGGGUCCAUGGUAUGUAUUCAUGUUUAUUUAUUUGUAAUUGAAUGGUGAUUGAUAUGAGAACAAAGCUCCUAUAUUGAGAAAGUUAGUCAUCAAAAUUUUGUCACAAAUUGCAAUAUGUUUAGCUUGUGAGAGAAAUUGAAGUACAUUUGCUCUAAUCCCACCUAAAGAAUGAAAUCAUCUCACCUACCCGGGCUUCAACAUUUAGGUUUUUUUUUAUUACAACAAGCAACCAAAGUUACAAGAUAUGAAGUCUACAAAUGAGAAAGUCAUAAAGACAAUAUAUAUAUAUAUAUAUAUAUAUAUAUAUAUAUAUAUAUAUAUAUAUAUAUAAUUUUUUGUAAAAGAGUAAUUUAAUUGAGUAGGGAUAUAUGCGAAAAAUAUGGGUCCAUAUGUAUUCAUGUCAUUUAUUUAUUUGUAGUUGAAUGGUGGUUCAUGUACGAGAACAAAGCUCCUAUAUUGAGGAAGUUGACAAUCAAGACUUUGUCACAAAUUUCAUCGUCUUUAACUUGUGAGAGAAAUUAACGGAGCACAUUCACUUUGAUCUAAACGAAAGAAUGAAUUGUUACACCUACCCCAAGCUUCAAUAUGUAGUUUUUGUAUUACAAUAUGAAACUAAAGUUAUGAAUGAUGAAGUCAUAAAGACAUACCAAAAUUUGUUUUUCAAAGAUAUUUUUUUAUUCUUUAUAAAAUAUUCUUACCAUCAAAUAUGGAUGCCUGUGAAAAAUGUGGGUUCAUAGUAUGUAAUUAUAUUGGAGCACAAUCACUCUAAUUCAAACUAAAGAAUGAAAUCGUUUCACUUACCCCAAGCUUCAAUAUUUAGUUUUUUGUAUUACAAUAUGAAACUAAUGUUAGAAAAUAUGAAGUUUGUGAAUGAUAAAGUCACAAAGACAUUCCUAAAAUAGUUUUUCAAAAAUAAUUUAUUUAUUUUUUAUUCUUUAUAAUGAAAGAAUCUUCCAUCAAAUGUGGACACAUGUAAAAAAUGCAGUUCAUAGUAUGCAAUCAUGUUUGAGCACAUUCGUUCUAAUUCAAACUAAAGAAUGAAAUUGUUUCAGCUACCCUCAAGCUUCAAUAAUUAAUUUUUUGUACUACAAUAUAAAGCUAAAAUUAGAAAAAUAUGAAGUUUGCGAAUGAUAAAGUCACAAAUACAUAUCUAAAAUUAUUUUUCAAAGAUAAUUUUUUUUAUUCUUUAUAUAAAAGUCUUGCCAUCGAGUGUGAACGCAUGUGAAAAAUAUGAGUCUGUAAUAUGUAUGUUGGAGCACAUUCACUCUAAUUCAAACUAAAGAAUGAAAUCAUUUCACCUACCCUAAACUUCAAUAUUUAGGUUUUUUUUUUUUUUUUUUGUAUUACAAUAUGAAAUUAAAGUUAUGAGAUGUGAAGUUUGCAAACAAUAAAGUCAUAAAGACAAACCAAACAUUAUUUUUCCAAGACAAUUUUUUUUAUUAUUAUUAUUAUUUAUAAAAGAGUCUUGUUAUCGAGUGGUAAUAUAUGUAAAAAGUGUAGGUCCAAAGUAUAUAUUCAUUUUAUUUAUUUAUUUGCAAUUGAAUGGUUCAGGAAGUUGAACAUUAAGAUUUUGUUACAACAUUAAUUACAUAAUCUUUAGCUUAUGAGAGAAAUUAAAGCACAUUCAUUUUUAAUCCAAACUAAAGAAUGGAACCGUCUCACCCAUCCAAGCUUUAACAUUUAGUUUUUUUGUAUUAGAACAUGAACUAAAGUUAUGCAAUACGAAGGUUGUGCAUGAUAAAGUUACAAAGAUAGAUUUCUUUGAGUUCUUGGAGAUUUCAGUCGAGGAAGAUGAAAAAGAGGACUAGUAGUUCUAAUGGGUUCAUCCGUUGCACUUAGAUGAUGAUGAUCGAAAUCCACCCUUACAAUAAGAUAAUGAUGAUAAAAAUUUUGAUCCACAAAUUGUCAUACAUGUUCAUAAUUUUAUUAUAACAAAGGCAAAGCAAAUUCAUUUGAAUAGGCAAUGUCACCAUAAAUAUAACCUCGUGUUAAUGUUAACUUCAUAAAUGUUGGCCAAAUAGUUGUGCUAUUGCUUUAGGUUUUGAUUAUUUUACCUCGAAGAAGAUGGGAUAGUUCCGAUCAUUUUGCCUUAAGGGAAGAGGGAGAUUAUAAGGAUGAUGAUAGAGAGAUGUAAUAGUGAUGACUAUAAUGGAGGGGAUGUUGAACAACAUGAACAAAGUCAACAUCCAUUAAGCCCAACAUGUGAGCCUCAUGCUUAUCCUACUUUUGUCAUGGGUAAUGGUUAGGUUUCUUAAGAUCAUAAUAUGGGUUCAAGUUCAUUUGUGAUGACAAUGGUAUAUUUAGUUAUUCUUUACAAAUGUCACACAAUAUUUUAGAUUAGAUACAAAGAAGAUGUCAAACAUGCAUAUGAAUGAAAUUGAAAUUAAUUUCCCAUUAUUAAAGAGGCAGUGUGCAGUCAACAGAUCAUAUAUAUAUAUAUAUAUAUAUAUAUGACAUAUUCAUAAUUACAAUUAUUAUUAUAUAAACUCUAUGUCAUAAUAUAAAUAUAAGAUGAUUUUCCUUUAUUCUCAAUUAAAUAUAUGCUUUCAAAAAUCAUAUUUCUUAUUAACACACCUUAUAUUAUUGUUGAACAUCACAAUUAUUGUUUGUUUUUUGUCAUUUUUAAGGUUUAUUUUUUAUUUUUUUGGUCUAAAAUUUAUAUGAUUUCUUAUGUAUUCGGAGAGGGAGUGACUUGCUUUUUUCACAUUGCCAAGAAACGAAAUAACCAUGUCGUAAGUAUUGCCGCGCACAGAGUACUCUUAACAGGGCACCCCAUGAGCAUGAAGCACAUACUCGGUACGUAGAACUUAACAGUGGUAAAGGCUAUAUAGAGCCAAUUGAUUCACGGUAAAAUCACUUCGUACUAUGUUAAUUCCCUAUUCUGAACAGGUUUAUUAUGCAGGGAAAGAACUCGUAAACGAAGAAACGAGUCAAGUUAUUCGGGAUUACAAACGUACCAACCUACUUUACAAGCCAAUAUUUCAAUGGUAGUGGCCCCGGCAGGCCCUCGGAUAUUGUGCCAUGGGCCGGACGAUUUGACCCUUGGAGGAAGGAUCCAUUUUGAAUGAGAUGGAAUAAAUAUAUGAUCAACAAUGUUAAACUUGUCGUUGUUGGACCAACUCUUGUACUAGCCCAAUCAAAUCCCUUGAAGAGGUGCCACCGGGUAGCACUGCACCCAAAGCCUCGUCUCUCAGUUCCUUGGCCCUCCUCUUCUGGGGAAAGUCCUCACUCAUGGCCUUAGCAAUUGUCCUACCCACCUCAGCCGAGUCAGGCACGGUCUCGUCGCCUUCGCACACUCGCACCGCAGCUCCCAAGUGGUCCACCAAGAGCAUCGCGUUCACGUACUGAUCAGCCUCCAUGGGCCACCCCAGAAUCAUGGCUCCACACACCAAGGCUUCCAUCAGAGAGUUCCAUCCGCAGUGACUCAGGAACCCACCCACUGCUCUGUGACUCAGUAUCGACACCUGGGGGGCCCAUCCCUUUAUAACCUUUCCCCUCUCACCCACUCGCUCCUCAAACCCAUCCGGCGGCAAACUACCCGCUUUCAUCACCCAUAUGAAUCGACCUCCGCUCCCUUCCAGCCCAGAUGCUAGAGCCGCUACUUGAUUGGGUUUCAGCAGUUUUUGACUCCCGAAGCAGACGUACACAACCGUCCCAUCUGGGCAACCAUCGAGCCAACCUAGCACAGCAUCAGUAGCAGCCGAAUCCGGAUUCGAAUUUCCACGAUUCAGGGAUCCAGACCCGCCUGGCAAAACAAGCGGCCCGACACUCCAGACCCGGUGGUGACCCAUUUGGCUCCUCAAAUGUUCCACAUACUCGCGUUCCAACGCACCAAACGUGUUAAACACACGCCCCCAACUCAAGGUAUUGGCAGUCAUACAAUCCCUCACGAACCGCCACUCGGGAUCGGAUCCUCUGUAAUGACGGAAGACAGAAGGGAGAUGGUCGGCACUGAAGGAUGGCGCUUUGGGAAGAUGAGGAAAGGAAACCACAGGCGAAGAGAGGAGUGCAUCCGCGUUGAGCCAUAGGUGGUCAGAGACACAGGCGAGAAAAGCGCCGGAGGAGUAGAAGGUGAUUCUGGGGAUACGGAGUUGGUGGGCAAGGUGGUGGGUCCAGCCGAGGAAGAAAUCAGAUAUGAUGGCAACAGGUGGUGAAGCAUGGGAGUUGAACCAGUGGAGAAUAGGGCUGUGAAGCUUGGCGAGAGCGUUGAUGAUGGGAACGUUGCCGAGGUUGCCGAUGUCCUUAACGUUCUCAACCCCGGGUGGGAGGGAGGGGUGGAGAGGAAAUUCUAGGACAAGGGUUUCGAUACAAGUGGGGUGGGCGGAGAGGAGAGGGUUGAGGAAGGGUAGGUUCUUGGGAGUGACGACCAGUGUGAGGGUUAGGUUGAGGUUAGUGAGAAGUAACUGAUGGGCUAGAUCUAGAAGCGGGAGCAUGUGGCCUUGUGCAGGGUAUGGGAACGCCAGAAUGUGAAUGGGUGUUUGCUCACAACCAGACAUGGCUCUGGACUCUGGAGUUAUGGAUUCCUUGUUCCACCGGUUGCCUCGCCAAGUCCUCACAUUUAUUGCGACUCCGUUGCAGACUUUUAGACAGUUGACCAUGACCGCAACUAUUCUGCUGGUGUCCACCUCUUUUAUCUACUGUCCAAGGUUAUGACGUAUGAGCAAGAGAGGGUUGUGGAUCGUGCGCCAUUCCAGACUUGGCCCCAUCCAACCUUAUCUCCUCUGAAAAACGACGAAGUUAUGAAUUUU
rnacentral:lncRNA from 1 species